GUUCAUGCAAGGUCCUUCUUGUGUCCAGCCCAAAUUAGAUCAAGGCAUGAAAUAGUUGCCCCAGCUAGUGUUUAAUAUUAGUUUGGAUUGUGUCUAAUUAUCCGAACCUUGCCUGUUAUCGACCCCUCUGGGGCUAGUACUCUGUUUGAAUCCGUCUAUGGGAACUGCUGCUACUUUUGUGUGCCCGUGAAUCAUGUGAGAACCAUCAUAAUUGUUGCCAAAACAGAUGUGUCCUCACUAGUUUUUUCAUGAAUAUGGCAUGGUAAGACAUAAGUUGUCAUGGUUUAUCAUACGAGUAGUCUGUGUUUUGAUGAAAUAGAGCACUCGUUCGAGAACCGUGCGCCAACGUAUACAUAAGUACUUGUAAACACUGUUGGUGCUACCCCACUUGUAAGCAGUUGUGCAAAACACGGCACAUUGGCUCAGCUCGCUUCAACACUAGGCUAUCGACCAGCUAACAAUCAACAAUCUGCUGUCUGACAUAUAAUCAACUAUGUAUCUUGUUACAGUGGUUCAUGCAGUUAAUUGAGGCCACAAUGUAAUAAAUUCCAAACGUUCACACGCUAGUCCAGCGCUCAUGUGGAACACUCACAUUAAACUCGUCUUCAUAAAAAACUUGAAAAGCAUAAGUUAAACAAUUUUAUACAUCUCAAUGAUUCAUAGAACAUAACAAACAUAUACUAGUUCACAGCAAAAGACAAAGUUGUGAGAAGGUUUACAAAUCAGGAAAAAACAAGCAAGGCUUCUCUGAGCAAAGGGCCUCCCGGCAGGCUUAAAUUUCCUGGAGUUCACUGUGGUUUUUUCUUGUUGCCACCAUUCAGGGUUAGGUUCUCUCAUUCCAGAAUAACCAAUUAUAAUUGUGGUCUCAGCUGGAAUGCUGAACUGAACCAUGCAAUGUACUGACCAGCUGAAAUGCUUGUGCAUUCCACUAAAUUUAAGCACCGCUAUUUGCAGAAAUAAGCAGACCACAAUGCCUCUUGUCCGCGCACCUGUCCAAAAAACCGCCAUGCAGCCGUGCCAGCUAGUCCUCGGUCCAUGGAUGAACUGGUAGAAAGUGCAUUCUGGGCUAGGAUGCAGUUGUUUUCGCUCGUCCCUGCACUGCAAUCAGGAAGUAAAACGUACGAAUCAGCUUCUUUUAGAUUGCGUUGGUCAUUCUACCUUAGUUACUAGUACCAAUGUAGGGAUACCUUGAAGACGGGAGGUUAGACGACGGCAACGAGGGAUAGCCAUCUCAUUUUGCGCAGUUGUACUAAAACUGAGGUGUGUGCUUUUGAUUACGCGGAUAGAAAUGAUACGGAGACAGACAUCCCUGUUUGCGCAAAUACGAAAUACGGUUAAUUAAACAGUGACAUAUAUUACUACUUUCCCCCGUUUCCUCUUAGAACCAAGUCCUAGAUUCAUGCUACAGCUUUCCCACUUUCUUCCCUGUUUGAACCAACGCUUUGAGUCGACUGUAUGAACUAGCUUUACUUCUAAUAAUAGUAGAAGUCUAGGUGGCUUUGGAACAGCGGACGGAAGUAGAAAAGGAUCCACCCGAAGGGAGCUGGGGCAGUAGAGCAAGGCAGGUUUCGAAGGAAUAUAUACCUGAGGGUCGUCGGCAUGUGGCAAAGAUGGCGUCGGGAGGCCGCAUCUUGGCCACAAUACCGCAGGGAGGAAGAAGGGGUCAGAGGCCCUCCCGAGCCGGCGCUCUCUCGGAGAGAACGACACGGCCGCCGAUCGAGACGCGCGGGCAGCCGUUGGUCUCCUCCCUCGCCGCCGACGACAGCGUGAACGAUGCACCUACACCCCUGCCCCGGUCGAGGUUGUCCGACCGGAUUUGUGACCAGCCGUGAGCUGAGAGAGAGUGUGGCCGCCUAUGUGUUUACGAGAGGAACCCUAGUAAAGCAAGCGCUAAGGCUCCUACUUUUAUAUAUAGUGGAGUGAUUUUCUUGUACCAGCUUCAAAAAAAUGCGCUCCUACGUGUACCCGCGAGUGGGUGUGAGAGAACUAGUGCGUGCGUGCACCGCUUCUCUUCGUGAGAGUACAAUAUACUAUGCCUAAAGAACGUUCGCCGCAAGAGUAAUAGUAUAAGUGUGUGACGUGUGAGCUAAAAUAAAAUGUGCGCCGUCUUUUGUUUUUUAGAAGUUCUGAGGGUAGGGUGUGAAGAGCACAUAUGUGCGUGAUGUCUACCUGCAGAUAGACGGUGGGUGCGACGUGCGAGUCUACGAGAGGACUCAGGAGAGUCGUGACUCGUGAGGGUGCGUGUGCGUGAGAGAGAGGGGGGCACGUAUCAAUGCAAUGCAUGUGUCCGUAAAUCAUUAUCCGACAAACGUUCGCCACAAGCCUUUUCCUGACGAACGCCGUAAGAACUGUUAGAUCGGCAUCCGACAGUGUCAGUUUUGCCAUGCAUUUAACAGAACAGCCACUCCUCCUACACACAAAUCUUCCAUGUGAGUGUUAGCAACUGCCGUAUGCUCCCUCCGUUCCGAAAUGCAGUGCAUAUAGCUUUAUUGAAAAUUCGAACCUCGCAAACAUUUACCGAGUUUUCGUGUACGAAAUUGCACAUGUAGAAUACCAUGUAUAUAUCAUUUCAUUCAUCUUCGAGAGGUAACUAUAAAGAUUGGUGAGGAGUCUACAAAGAAAGACCAUCGUAUCACCCGCAACAAUUUCAAGCAUCCUUUAGUGUCGAGGAAUAUCAUAGGAACUCUAUAUGAUAUGAUUUUUAUAGGGUUUUUUCCUUUAGAGCCAAUUGGUUCAUAGGAAUAGAUUCAUAUACUCCACAUUUCAAAGGAAAUAAACAUGAUAUCAUUUCUAUAGCUUUAGAGCCACUUGGUUCAUAUGAAUGGAUUCCUAUACUCCCUUAAUUUCAAAGGAAAAUAAACAUUAGCUUAUAUUCAAUAGAAAAGUUCCUAUGAUAUGAACCAAAUUACAUCUCUUUUCUAAUCCCUCCUCAUAGGAAUUGAGAUACAUGUCAUCUCUAGAUUCAAUAGAAAAGUUCCUAUGAUGUGAACCAAAUGACAUCUCUUUUCCAAUCCCUACUCAAAGGAAUUGAGAUGCUCCAUGUCAUCUCUUUCCCUACAACUUCCAUGUAUACAUCUUCUAUUCCUAAAUAGAUAGUACAACCCACUAGUAGCUUUUUUCCAAAACAUGCAACUAUGGCACAAGAACUAUAUAGUGUGCCAAUAACUUUGAAAGAUGGUCGCUGGAUGAAGCUAACCCGACAGUGCAGAGAUAGGAAAAUCCGAGCACUACUGGCCGUUGGAUAUCAUCAACAUUCCACCAGAUCUGCCACAUGUACAAUUUAGAAGACUCCAUGGUUGAACUUAAGCAUAAUGCACAAACCUCAAAACAUAAGCACUUCUCCUUUGUUCUAGAAUCUUCUGUAUCAUAAUUGAUUAUUAUUUUUAAAUGAAUUGCCAUUAUUUGUUUUUUACUUUAUGAUUUACAAUGCACAACCCCAUGAAUCUUAACAUUUUUAUAAAACUAAUUGAUUUUGAAUGAGAUGAACUAUAAGAACUAAACGAACAUCUACAUCAUGCAUAUAUGACUCAAAGCUUUACAUGCUAUAGUGUGUAUUUAUUCGUAAUUUGGUUUCGAAAUCUCAUGCGUUCAAUACAUGUGUACCUUACUAGUUUUGAGUAGAGUAGCAAAUUUCACGCGGCCCCGGGUAUAUCAAAAUGCAGGGCCCAUGCAUCAUUGCCUUUCGGUCGAACCUACGUCCACAAUUUUUUGUACGUACUAUAUCUCCACUGGUCCCCGAACCCAAAAUGUUGCCUCGUUCCCAUAAAACCAAGCGGCCCACACAUAUUUAAGGCGUCAACUCGAACCCGUUUACUACGACGUGACCCCGCAUGCCGUAGUACUCCUACAAACCCUACCGCCGCAUUCAUCAUCGGUUUUCUUCAAGAGGACGAGAGAGAAGCCGAUUUGUAGUGGAGGCGCUUUAAAAAAAGGAUCUGUAGUGGAGAUCCCUACCCUAGGGUGCCCUAGGUAGCUGCCGCACGCAUCAUUGUUUUCUCUUUUCUUUAUGCUCUUGCGCCCUAGAGUGAAAUGAUGGUUGCUUCGUCCGUCCAGCUUAAUGCGGGAAAGGUGGGGCUUUGUGAUUUGACCCCUCAUCGCUCAUUUUCUACUACUGCGGUGCUACGACCGGGGUGCCUCCAAUUCCAACCGCUGCUCUGAACUGUAAUUUGGUGCAUCGCACGUGGAACAAAACGGUGGAUGAGCGACAUGUCGGCCAAAGGGGUCCUGUUAAGUGUGUCGCCAUUUCAUGUGCGGACUGACCCUGCUUGAGUUGCUACGCCAACACGACAGGAGCAGCCUACCACUUGGUUUUGCUCCUUGGUGAAUCCCGACUAUAUUGAUCUAAAUAGAUACGUGCUGAACUACCCUCUCCGUCUCGGUUUUUUUAUUUUUAGGCGUCUUGGUUUAUAGGGCCUGCACGUAGUUCUAGGUCAUCCAUUUGACUAACUAAAUAUGAGUUACUAUGUCACAAAAAGUAUAUCAUUGGAUUCUUAAGCGGAUGUAGUUGUAUUUAAAAGUCGAGGGCGGGGCUUUUCCUGCGCGGUAGGCAGGGCAGUUCCGCCUAGUCGGUUCGACAGAGACGCGAGAAGACGAGGGAGUAGGCUGCUGCAAACGUAGGGCUGUGUGAUUUGACAGCGAGUUACUGCUGGACAGGUGGGGCCUCGUGAUUUGACUUGUCAUUAUCAUUUUAACUGCGGCGCUACGACCGGCGUGAGUCUCCCGAUUCCUGACCACCUCCAUACAGGUGCCUCUCCCAAUGCUCCAGCAUGUAGUAGAGGCUGGCUCUUGCAUGAGAGCCCACUUCUCCACUUUUUCCUUGCCUCUCUUUCCUCCACAUAUGCAAAAAUGCCAUGUAAAGCGCACUAUUGUACUUACUUUUAUUUGCUCCUACAGGUGCUUAAGGUUGCCACAUAGGCAUAAAGUCUGAUGUGGCAAGUUAAUCAAGAAGAGAGAGACUAGUUUGGUGACCCAAGGAAGAAACGGUGCUAAGCGCGUGUACCUAGGUGAAAAGACAAUUUUGAGUCUAUAGCUAAUUAAAUGAAGCAAACUUAGCAACACCAUUUCAUUGGAAGAGGUCACUCCUUGGCAAAUGCAAUAAAUACUAGUACUCCAUGUGUCCCAUAAUAUAAGAACGUUUUUGGCACUACACUAGUGUCAAAAACGUUCUUAUAUUAUGGGACGGAGGGAGUACGAAGAAAGAGAUAGAGAGGAGUAGAAAAAUUUACACUUAUAGCCAACCUUAUAGCCAACCUUGUUGUAGUAUGAGUGACUAAGUGAUGACUAUGUAUGACAUGCCAACAUCAGAUAGCCUAACGCACCAUGUUAAAUCUCCAAGGGCGCGACCGCGCGAGCGACGCGACGGUCGUGGUAGGCGCGACCAUGAUACAGGCUGCUGGCAGCCCUUGGAUCUGAGAUCAAACGGUCCCAUGCUAAGUUGCUGAAAAUUUGCAGAAUAACCCUCCAGAAUAGGAUAUUCACCCAUAGGUCUAGAAUCACGCCAUGCAACCAUUCGAUCUCAGAUCCAAGGGCUCUCGGAAGCCCGUAUCAUGGGAGAAUGGAAAGCCACUACCCUGCCGUUCGCACGCUGGCAGUUCGCUCCUACUCGUCCCCGCACGUCCUUCAAUACUACGGCGCUUCGCUCCUAGUCGUCCCGUCCAUUCACAUUAUGGCAGUUCCACUAAUCCUAACCCUCCUCCCAAAUCCAUGGCGUCCCAAAUCUCCACGAUCGGCGGUGAGUACAAGGUUAGGACCAUCACCGGCGAUGAGUUCGACGUCAUCUACACCCAUUCUUCCGCGACGGUGAAAGGAUGCCUUUCUUGCUUCAGACGCAUGUUCGAAAACUCAGAUGAUGAGUGGGUCGCUGGGCUAGAUGUUGAGUACACCACAGUCCUGGGACGAAAGAAGGAUCUAAAGGACGAAGAGAGGAAGAAGCCCGCCGUGAUCCAGGUUUGCGUACAUAACGUUUGCUUGGUCUACCACAUAUGCCAUGCCGACGUUGAGUGCCAGGAUUUUAAGAACUUCCUCAAGGAAAAAGUAGUGAAAUUCGUUACUGUAGACUUUAAGAACGACAAAGAAGUCCUGGGUCGGAUAGGCCUCGUUGUAGGCAACCCCGUCGACCUCCAGAAGAAUCGGCUGGUGCCCUCUCGUCAGCCUUCAAUGCUGACCCUGGCAGGAGCCAUGGUUCAUCCUUCAUACCGUAAACUGGAGAAACCUCAUUACACGUUUCAUCGUCAUGCAUGGCAGCGGAAUGUACUAGAUAUAGACCACAUCCACUACGAUGCAAUGGAUGGCUACCUUUGUUUCAAUAUCUACAAGGGUUGGAUGAAGAGCAACAGCCAAGUGUGCGGUUCAAGCAAAGAAGUAUCGGCCAAGAGGAAGAGGGACAAGGACGAAGUCGAGGACGUGGACGAGGACUCCGAGUAAGGUGGCAGUGUCAUUGCUCAUGGUGGUUCUAAACUUCUAAUGCAGUGUCUACCGGAUUAGUUGCAUAGUUUAAUUUCAGGUGUGCUUAGUUUAAUUUGAGGGGUGUGUUGUGCUGAGCCCCCAGCAGAACUAUGUUAUGUUUCUUCUCAUUACUUUAACUCUUCAGUAUGUACAUACUACUAGUAUUUCUUUAAUAGAAUUUAGCACCCCAAUUAAGCACGUACUAGCUUUUUUAAUAGUACUAUUCAUAAUUUGGCGACGAGCGCUCUCUAUAUGUACCACCUUUUUUUUAAUUUCAAUUUUUGCUCCAUGGCACAAUCCAUCGAUAGUACUACUGUACAAAAGUAUACAUUUUUUAAAAGGCUAGAGUACUGUUCAUCACAUAUAUAGCCAUUUAAAUUCUCAACCUAGAACGACGUGCAUGCCAUGUAGUAAACCGAUACGGAGGAAGUAUAGUAAAAAUGAGGUGAUUUUACCGAGCAAUCGGCGGGGGAGCAUGGCCUGUCAUGCGGUCCCACGUGUCAUGAUGUACCAAGGCAAUGCGUGUGUCCCUCUUGAGGCAGAAGCAAUACUACGUGGUUUGAGAUGAUGAUGAACCGAAGUGUGAAAUAAUGGUUGCUUCGACCGUCUGGGAAGGUGCGGCAUUGUGAUUUGACGUCUCAUUGCUCAUUACUACUACUGGGCCGGUACGAGUGGGGUGCGUCCCCCCUGCUGUUCUACACUAUUAUUUGGUGCUUGACACGUCGACCCGGUUGCUAUAUGUCCCACAUGUCGGCGACAGGAAGUACAUAAUUCAUGAAAGGGAGCGUCGACGGAGGAGUAUACUACAGAAUUCAUGAAAGGGAGCGACUUAGUUUUGGAAAACUCUGUUUUUACGAAGUACAUACCCACUAGGGUUUAUAGGGCUCAUCUAAAAAACAUUCGUUUUUCCGUUUGAUAAGUCUCAAUUCUACUAUACUAGUAGUACCAUUACAUGUUGGAUUUUGAGGUGCGUUAGAUCACCCGACGCAAGCAGUGUCAAGAGGAAACUAACCAAUGCAUGUACAAGUUCAUGGAAAUUUAGUGGUCAUUCAUGCAUUCGUUCUAAUUAAUGCCUCGGUAAACAUAACUUCUUGAGAAAAACGAGCGUACUAAUUACUUCUGCAAACUAUGAAAUUAAUUCGACCACUCACCGUCUACCUUGGUUGGAGAGAUUUUGAAAUUGAGCCGUAAACUGGAAAGGAAGGAGUAGUAACUUUUGUCUCGAUUACUAUUUGUGGCCUUGUAUAGAUGCAAAAUGUAUUUUUUUAUAGUGGCCUUGUAUAAGUAAAUGGAGGGAGUACUAACCAAAGUACGUAGUAGGGACGAGGAGUAAACGGAGGGAGUAGUAAAAUUUUCUCCUCGUGCUGCGAGCCACCGCGCGCGUGGGCGAGGGAGCGGGCGUAAAGGCGUACAGUAGUAGUACUACUACUACUACUACUACUACUACUACUACUCGUAAGCAAGCUUCACCUCAUCCUGCGAGCCACCGCGCCCGUGGGCGGGGGAGGCGGCGUACUAAGCAAGCUUCUCCUCGUUCUGCGAGUUGACGGGGCACAUCAAAAGUACUCCAGUGUAUAGAGCCUUGCCUCUAAGGUAGGCCCCACAUGGUUUACCUCUUUUUUUAAUUUAACAUAACGCGUCAAGUCGCAAUUUGUUUGCUCACCCGUGGUAGACGAUCCUCCCUCCACCAAGUGGACAACCAGUACACGUGCCAAAUUACCACGUGGGCUGCCUUUUUCGUACAGAAAUGAGCUCCACCGUGUACCCGCGCGGGUGUGGUUGGGAAAGAGACGGGAGUACGUGCGCCGUGCGUGCACCUCUUCUCUUCGUGCACGUCCCCCACCUACGUGGGUGUGUGUGAGAGAGAUACAAACCUAGACAUAAUGCGCCGUCCAUCCCCAUGCCUCCGCCUAGUCCAACCACCAGUCACCACCACGCCCCACUCCUCCUCACCUUAUCUCUCAUCUUUCUCCCUCCAUUUUUAUAUACAAGGGGCCACUAUCAAAAUUACAAUUUGCAGAUAUACAAGGCCACUAACACUAAUCGAUGCAAUAUUAAUGGUGUUUGCCUCGUGGUACUAGCAAAGGAGGACAUUAAUUAUCCCUUGCAUGCAUGCGGGAGUUUGUAAAAAAAUGCAUCUUGAUGUUCCGUGCAAUGCACGGGCAUCUUGCUAGUCCAUGAAAACAACACAUGGCAAAAUUCCACGGCGAACGAGGGAUUUGAAUCUGUUGGGAGGGGCUGUUUGGAUCUUGCCCGGGGUAGCCAAAAUAUUGGCGACCCUUUUGUCCACCGGUGCCUUUGCCACCGAUGAACGAGGAAUGGCUCGGGUGCUCAUGCUGUCAUGCAUCCUCCGCGCGCACGUUGGAGACGAGCUCGCACGAGCUGUGUUUUUUUGUCCCGCAACGCCGCCCGAGCCGCCCGCAGACCGACCGGCGACCCGCAAAUUACGCCAUCCAACCGUAGCCGCACACAUUAUGACAGCAACUCAACCAACCGGACGAAAUUCACGCAAACACGUAGACAAACUGAUAUUUUAUAUAAACAACGACGGAAAUCAUAUAAAAUACCGGAUUUUCAUACAAACAUGACGGAUUUCAUUACAUUCAAAUGAACUACGCGGUGCUAGUUCUGGACAGCACAUGUAUAUAAUACCUGGCCUAAAUGGUCGCCCGCCGAUCGAUUUGUGUUCCUCAUGUCCGGCAGCACGAUCACCGGGCUGCCGGGAGCCCCGGAGGUAUAUGCUUCGGCGCAAAGGACGGCUCGCUUGCCCACUGCCCAACUGAUAUCAUUGGCUGGUGCCGAAGAUGAUGGUGGCCGGCAGCGGUUCGAGUUCAUCACCGGCCACUACUUCGCCAUGGUCGGCACCGGCUCGAGUUCAUCCUAACAUUCCCCUCUUCCGUGGAGCCCAUGCGGGGUCGACAAAGGUCCUCGCAACAAAAGGAUCCGGCAAGACACCUACUGUGUACGCCGGCGUCGCCUCCGCGGUGGCCUUCAUGGGACCCAAGCGGCGGCGGCCUCCCGUGUUCUACUUCUCCUCAAUGAUGGCAGCGGACGCGGAGGCGCUGGCCACCGACUCGUCGCUCUCCGCACACCCGGCUUCUGUCGCUGCUUGCAUGGCGCGGCCGCCGGCAUGGGAGUCUCGGCCACAGAAACGGGAGACGCGGUACGAGGCGGCGGCGUGGACGGCAGCAACGACUCCUGUGCGCCGCUCCUCGUCGAGCUGGCCUGGAGCGGCGAGUUGCUGAACCGCGCGCCGGCUUGGGGCGGCAACUGGCUCCGUCGGGCGAGGGGAGGGAGGUGGAUUAGCGAGCUGCAUAGCUCAUAUCCGGCGGGCUACCCAGCCGGCUUGGAUGCGGAAUAACUACUCUUCGUAAGCCAUUGUAAGAGUGAACAAAAUGGUGGAGGAGAUAGGGGAGCGGCGGAGGUGUGCGAUACUUGGCCGGUGUUUGGCCUCGUUUAAAUAGGAGAUUAAAUAGAUGGCGGACGGGAGGAGCUCGGCCGGCGUUGCGUUUAAUGCCGGCCCGGUCAUGAACGGACGUGUGUCCAGAGUGGGUUUCUCGGCUUCCACACGGGUGGGUUUCAUGGAGGCGUUUGAAUGCGGCACGGAGGCGUGUUCAGCCGGGAAUGCCGCGAGUGGCGCCCUCGACUCUGACCUAGGACACCGCGUCGUUCUUCCACUGACGUGUGGGCUCUUUGGGUGCAUGGCCUGCAUGUCAGUGACCCAACGCAGGCAGCGCACAGCAGAGGAACCUUUGGUGGGCCAAGGCGGUCAGAAGCGGGCAUUUCAUAAACCGAUGAUUGUUCAUUGAGUGUGACGUCAUCUUUUUCAUGUAGAUAAGCCUACUAUGUUGAUAGCCCGUUCGAUACGUUGUGAUUCAUAAAGACCGCUGCAAACAUCAAUGUUCUGCUUAUCACAGAUAAGAUUGAUUAAUACCCGUAACAAUCCAUGUCCUUAACAAAGGGUGCAUGCAUGUAUAGGUUGAGCGUGUGUCUUGCGUCGUGUGCUGUGUGCAUGCAGGCGUGCGAGUGUUGCGUGCGUGCAAGGGUACGUUUCAGUGUUGCAUGCAUGGGUGCGUACGUGCGUGUGUUCAUGAGUGCAUGUGUACGUGUCAGUGUUGCACGCCAGCAUGCGUGCGUGUGUACGUGUCAGUGUUGCACGCCUACAUGCGUGCGUGUCUUGUGUGCAUGCAUGUGUACGUGCAGGGUGAGGCUACACGUCAGUCGACUGACUUUUUCAUCUCUGGUCAUUAGAUUUUCCAACCGUUGGAUACGAAAUCAAGGGCCUCCAGUUUAUCAUCAAACUCCACCCCCCCCUGAGCCGCCAGCCACCACCGGCCGAACCGCUAGCCCCCGCCGCCCGCGGCCGGCCCGCCCUCCCCGAAACCACUCCCCNNNNNNNNNNNNNNNNNNNNNNNNNNNNNNNNNNNNNNNNNNNNNNNNNNNNNNNNNNNNNNNNNNNNNNNNNNNNNNNNNNNNNNNNNNNNNNNNNNNNNNNNNNNNNNNNNNNNNNNNNNNNNNNNNNNNNNNNNNNNNNNNNNNNNNNNNNNNNNNNNNNNNNNNNNNNNNNNNNNNNNNNNNNNNNNNNNNNNNNNNNNNNNNNNNNNNNNNNNNNNNNNNNNNNNNNNNNNNNNNNNNNNNNNNNNNNNNNNNNNNNNNNNNNNNNNNNNNNNNNNNNNNNNNNNNNNNNNNNNNNNNNNNNNNNNNNNNNNNNNNNNNNNNNNNNNNNNNNNNNNNNNNNNNNNNNNNNNNNNNNNNNNNNNNNNNNNNNNNNNNNNNNNNNNNNNNNNNNNNNNNNNNNNNNNNNNNNNNNNNNNCGAGCUUUUUCUCCAGGGAUCCCCACCCCACCGCCCAAUGAACGUCCCCCAACCGCCGGUGACUGCCAACCAGAGGUCUCACGACUUUGAAUACCCAUCGACCACUAAUUUAUUACCACUUCUAUCCUUCAUAUACGCGCUGACGGGUGGGCCCUAUGGUAAUGUGCGCUGCUGAAUGUGGACCGUUUGACUGGUCAAUUGAUCGUGUUAUCAACAAAUUACGGAGCUGUAUGGUGAGCCAGUGACCGUAUGAUCACCCUAAAAUGUACUCCUAUUUUAUUAACACAGUACAGACUCAAACUACCAUUUCUUUCUUUCAUAUACGGGCUGACAGGUGGGCCCCACGGUUACGCGCCCCGAUGGUGCAACACUAGUUGCGCCGCGUGGAACGUUUGACUGGUCAAUUGAUUGUGUCAUCAACAAAAUACGGAGUUGUACGGGUGAGCCAGUGACCGUAUAAUCAUGAUAUGUAUUUGUUUAACACGGUACAGACGCAAGGGCUCAUAUAUACGUGCAAGCACUCACCGCUAUAAGUGCACACAUGCGAACCCUACCCCUAUGAGCACCUUCGAGAGAGUGGGCCAGCAUAUAUGAUCUUGAGAUUUUACGAAGUCACCAUAGGUGCCUCGUAGUUGAGUGGAACGUCUCCUCCCACUGAACGUACAUCGCCGGAAAAUACUGAAAUUAACACAAGAUAAAUGCGAGCACCGGUGCUUUAACCUUGGUGCGCUCGAGAAACCACUGUCCUCUAACCAUCCAACCACAUGUUGGUUAGCACGACAAAAUGUAUGUGGUGACCGUGAUGAGCUUAUUCUGAAGUCCAGUGACCAUAUCGUGCUUUUGCUUCAAAUACAAUGACCGUAAGUGUCGUCAACAAAAUACGGAGCACGCAUCAAAUGCAAAGUCCGUCAGUGUCAUCAACAAAAUAUGGAGACGUGUCGUGAGCUAGAUACCGUUGUACUAUUGUAUAUGCUUAUUUUCUUAGUGGCCGAUUGCGUGUGUGGUGUGGUGGGCACAUCGUUUCUAGUUGUGGUGGGUCAACAUGAAGACUCAUGGGUCGGUUCCAUCCUGCGCCACAUAUAGGUUGGACCGAGACGUGUUAUACGAAGACCCAUGUGGAGGACUCGGCGUACAACACGAAGCUACCAGAGUCGCGGAGGACUCUAUCCCCACUGGUGAUAAGCCGACUAUAUAUGAUUUGUAACCCUAGGCCCUUAGUAUGUUAUACAAGCUUGGGGGCUAGUUCGUCGAUAGUAUACACACACGCACAAUGCCUGGUAUUCACGUGUACUUUGUACACACCCCUAUCACUAAUAUACAGUACCAGGAGUAGGCUCUUUCUUCAACUGCAAGGGUCCGAUCUGAACUAGGGUAAAACUUUGCCUCGUAUUACCAUCUAGCCUAAGAGCCAGGGGUAUCCUACCGAAUGAUAUGAUGAAAUCAUAUCUGCCAACUACUAAGAGAGAGGUGUGUCGGGGGGGCAAUGUGUGCGAGAGAGGCCUAAAGAUAAUGUGCGUGCGGGAGACAUGUAGGCACAUAUAUGUGCGUAUAGAGGGCUAGUAGAGACCGUGCAUGUGUAUAUAUGCAUGUGAGAGAAAUAGUGUUUUCCAACUGAGAUUAGUGAAAAGAGUGGUACAUAGUAGUCAGAAAGAGAGAGAGAGAGAGAGAGAGAAACAGAGAGAGCAUGUGCGUGAGACACCCCGACACCCUGAGAGAGAUUGUGAGCAUGUGUGGAAGAGAAAUGCUGAUGCAUAUAAAGUGUGUGCACUUAUGCGUUAGAUAGAGAGAUAUAUAACGCGUUUGUGAGAACGGGGCGAGGCAUAGUGCAUCUACGUGUAAAAGGCGGUUCUACGCAUUAAAUUAAAAUAUAAAUGGCAUUAUUAUUUUUGGAUGAGAUCAUGAAUUUUGCAAAUUGCGUAUGGACGAAAAUCGGUCUAUCAGACACCCAUACUCUAUUGAAUUCUAGCAUGUGCAUGUGUUUAUUUCAUAUUAUCGAUCCAUAGAGUGAGAGCGGUUUGAAAUACAGCCAAUGGAUGCUUUUGCAAUUCAUAUAUAAACAUUAAUUAGUGCACUCCAUGUUGUUAGUGUGAAGCACUUUAUACAUUUGUCACUUGCAUGGAUACAUUCCAAAUUGCUAGCUACGAAAUAGAAUACAUGUCGAAUUCAACAUAAAGGGGGUUUCGAAGAUUCGAAUACAUAGGAAGUGCAUUCAUCUAUUUGAACCCGAGAUAAUGGCAUUUGUAAAUCAGAUGUAAAAGGGGGCAUCAAUCUUUGUUGUGAGUUUGAACAUGCUAUAUAUAUUCAUACGCAUAUCUAACUUUUUUUUGCAACCAAGGAGAUUAUAUCUGGAACCAUGCAUGAACUGAGGUAAGUUGCAUAUUUUUUAAUAUAUACUCGUGUACAAUGUAUAUUCAAAUGUACCCCCUCCAUUCCAAAAUAAUCGUAGCUUUAGGAUUUUCAAGAGUAAAGAUUUGUGAAGUUUGACAAAUCCUGAAAGUUCAAUUCAAGAGAACCGAAAACGUUAAUGCUUCUGCUCCCAAAUAUUGAACGAAGCGCCAAAUAGGCCUCUGGUCACCCGAAACUGCGCGAGACUAAUGUUUUGGUGGUAGGAAAUUACUGUCCUGACUCUGGCCCAUGUAGCCUAUCGGCCCGAUGUCCAAAGGUCUAAACCGGGGUAGGUUUGUAACUUCACCAAGACGCCAGUCUCAACCGCCUCCGAGAAGCAUUCAUACGCCGUGGGCGCCUACCCAUGCACUCGGCCGAAAUCUAUCCCGCCCACAUUUGGGACACCUGACAUGACUGUCCUACCCCCAACCCGCAAUAUGUCCGAAAUUUUAGAUGGGGGCAAAGUUUGUAACUUUCCCCAAAUUUCAAACAAGCGCGUCUCAAACCGAAACAUUGUUCCCCCUUAGUUCCCCGCCUCCCUCCGUUUCCCCAUUCAUACUCCGUGGGCGCGAAAACGCCCUCUCCACCAGCCACGAAACCCCAGCCUCCUCCGUCCUCCACCCCAUAGCGGCCAAUCCACCGCCGCCCUCCUCCAUCACGCCGGAGCCGGUACCCCGACGUCGUCGUCCAACGCAACCGCAACCGCAACGCCCUCAAGGACUUAGCAGUUGAAGCCGAGGGAGAGCUGCCUCCACGACGCCGACGCCGAUGUGCGCCGUACCAGAACCACUCCGACCACGCCGUCCUACGCCUCACUGCUGCCGCUCCACUGUCGCAACCGUCCAUCGCACCGGAGCUGUUCCCGCUACGCCGUCGUUCGCCGCCUCGGAUCUGCUUCCCCGCCGCCGACAGACGGCCACCGCACCACACUCAACAACUUGGCCAUGGGUUCGUCCAAGGCUGCACCGUCCUCCACAACUUCUGGUUUCCAGCGAACAACAAGAAGAUCGUCGGAAAAACAGAAGGAGGACACAGCGCUGCCAGCAGAAAGAGGUACUCCUCUUCCCUUAUUCAUGCAAAUCUUACGUCUCCGCUCACACCGUAUUCACCCACGAAAGAAACUAGUUGAGCGCUUCUUACUGCAUCUUCUUCGUGAUACUAAAUGCACAAGGUUUCCUCCCUUUUACUAUUUCACCUUUGCUAGAGGUCAGUAGCCCGCCUGGAUUUCAAUUCAGGGUCAGUCGAACCGCAAUUAAAAGAAGCAGCACCCGCUUAGGCGCGCGGAGCACCUAGUCCGCAUGUUCCCCGGGGAAGCGGCACAUCGGUGUCUAUCAUAGGGGUGUGGGGCGCAGGAGCUGCUUGCGCCCGAUCUGGAGGUCGGCGGGGCUUAAAUGAAUGGCCGGGGGACGGUGCCAAGCACGGCGGUGCGGUGAGGUCGAGGGGAGGGCGCAGGCAGGGGAGGAAUACUGGGCCGGUGGUCGCUGGCGUUUCGAGGAAGAUCGUCAACACUGACUGGCUGGAGGUAGAUGAAGGAGAUCUGCCCGUUCUUUGUACAUCGGACGGUGCAGAAAAAAUGGACUGACAUAUUUGCUUUCAGUCGACUGUUAUUUUCAUAGAAUCCUGUAGUAAUUUAGUGUGCCAUGCAUGUUGUAGAGCUAUCAUAUGUCUCCCGUCAUUUAUUUCUCACCGACCUGCUAUCUGCUACCUUUACACUGUACUAAUUGUGCACACACUUCACCCAUACUCACACUAUUGUUUUUUUAUGCAUGGGUAUUUCAGACUCUGGCGCAGUGUUGAUGAAUGCAGAAAAGAAAAGACAGAAGUCGCUCCAGUGUAAUUCGAAGAUAAGCACUAAGCGUUUCAGCGCUCUAAUGGGUGCAGUGUCAGCAGUUGGAGACAGUAAACGUAGCUCUGUAGUUGAUGAUCUCAAUUGCCACACACAACCAUCCCAGGUGCUUGCUUUAACUUCGCGCUGUCAAAUGUGGUUGCAUGUUGCAUAUGGUGUCUAGCUUGUAUUGCUUCCAAUUUGGUUAAAUUGCAUCUGCUUACUUUACACAUUAUACCUUUGAUAAUGACAUGCCUUCCUGUUUUUGAUACAUACUACAUAUGUCUAUUAACCAUGUUCGUACAUCAAACUAAUGCUCUUUUGUAUCCCUCGUCAAUCACUUAUGAUGAGACAGUCACCCGAGUGGGUUACUGUGAGACGCCCUACUCGUUUAAAGUGUGCAGUGUCAUCCUCCCCACAUGAUUCUCAAGAAACAGCAAGGCUAAAUGAAGAUAGUCAACGCAGCUCUCUAGUUGAUCACCGCAAUUCCCCCACACCACCAUUGCAGGUGCUUACUCUUACUUGGCAGUGUGAUAUGUGGUUGCAUGUUGCAUAUGGUGUCUACCUUGUAAUGCUUCUAAUUAGGGUAAAUUGCAUCUGCUUAGUUAACACAUUAUACCUGUGAAUAUGACAUGCCUUCCUAUUUUUGGUACAUACUACGUCUGCCUAUCACACCAUGUUCUUACAUCAAACUACUGUUCUUGUGUAUCCUGCGUCUAUCGCUUAUGAUGAGACAGUCACGCGCGUGGGUUAAUAUGAGACGCAAUACUCUUAUAAAGAAUGCAAUUUCAUCCUCUCCACAUGAUUCUCAAGAAACAGCAAGCCUAAAUGAAGAUAUUGAACAUAGCUCUGUACCUGAAGACCGCACUUCCCCUACACCACCAUCACAGGUGCUUGCUCUAACUUCGCAGUGUGAUAUGUGGUUGCAUGUUGCAUACGGUGUCUAGCUUGUAAUGCUUCUAAUUAGGGUAAAUUGCAUCUGCUUAGUUUACACACUAUACCUGUGAAUAUGACAUGCCUUCCUAUUUUUGGUACACACUACAUCUAUGUGUUAACCUUGUUCUUACAUGAAACUACCUCUUUUCUGUAUCUUGCAUCAAUCACUUACGAUGAGUCACCUUUAUUCGUUGCAUAUUGCAUAUUAUUUCUAGCCUGUUGCCAUGUAUUGCUUCUAAUUUGGUCAAAUACAUUUGUUAGGGCACCCUUUUAAUUUGGCAGAGUGAUAUUGGUUUCAUCUUUCAUAUGGUUUCUAGCUUGCAUUGAUUCUAACAAGUUCAAGCACCUUGUGCUUAGUUUACACUUUAUACAUCAUACAUGUCAAUAUGUCACGACGUCCUGUUUUUCAUACAUAUUCCAUCCUCCUAUCAUGCGGCUGCCUUACAUGAAAGUAGUGUUCGUCAGUAUCAUGCAUCAAUGAGUUCUGAAGAGCAAAUUUUAUUCCUUUUUCUUGUGGGUUUGACUUGACAAGGCAAAAUCAAGAAAGAGGAAGGAAAAGAGUAAGGAAGGCGAUGAUGGUGGUCCUCUACAGCAACGUAAACGGAGCAUCUGUACCGAUUCUCCUUGUACUGAUAGUGCAUUACAAGGUCCAAGUCUCCGCUCCCCUACUCCACCAUCCAAGGUGCUUGCUCUAACUUGGCGGUGUGAUAUCUGGUUGCAUGUUGCAUAUGGUGUCUAGCUUGUAUUGCUCCUAAUUAGUGUAAACUGCAUCUUCUUAGCUUACACAUGAUACAUGUGAAUAUGACACGCUUUCCUGUUUUUGGUACAUACUAUAUCUGUCUAUCACACCAUGUUCUUACAUGAAACUACUCUUCUUGUGUAUCCUGCAUCAGUCACUUAUGAUGGGACACCUUUAAGUUGGCAGUGUGAUAUUGGUUUGCCUCUUAAAUAUGAUUUCUAGCCUGUAUUGCUUCUAGUUUGAUGAACGCCACCUAUGACGAGACAGUUUUAACUUGGCAGAGUGAUAUUGAUUGCACCUUCCAUAUGGUGUCUUGCAGUGUUUCUAAUUUGUUGAAGUGCCUUCUGCUUAGUUACCACAUCAUAGGUGUGAAUAUGUCAAGCUGUCCAUUUUUCCGUACAUAUUCCAUCCUCGUAUCAUGACUUUGCCUUUCAUCAGAGUAGUGUUCGUCAGUAUCAUGCAUGAAUGAGUUCUGAAGAGCGAAUGAUAUUCCUUUUUCUUGUCGGUAUGACCUCACAAUGCAAAAUCAGUAAAGCUGAAGGAAAUUGGCAAGGCAUUGGAUGAUGGUGGUCCUUCCGAGCAACUGAAACGGAGGUUCUCUACAGAUUCUACUCCGCCAUCCUCCCAACAAGAUUCGCAAGACAACGCAAGGCUAGACAGUCAACGUAGCUGUGUAGAUGAUGAGCACAUCUCCCCUACUCCGCCAUCACAGGUGCUUGCUCUAACUUGGCACUAUUAUAUGUGGUUGCAUGUUGCGUAUGAUGUCUAGCUUGUAUUGCUUCUAACUUUGUUGAAUUGCAUCUGCUUACUUUACACAUAAUGCAUGUGAAUAUGACAUGUGUUCCUGUUUCUACAUCUGUAACACCCCGUAUGUAACUUGCCAUAUUUGUAACUCCGACUCUUGCCAUUUUCGGCUAUGUGCUAUGAUUUACCCUCCGUUGUCGGGUUUUGUCUUUCGUUUUGUAUUUUGUCAUGUCAUGCAUUUUCAUAUCAUGUCAUCAUGUGCAUUGCUUUUGCAUACGUGUUCGUCUGAUGCAUCCGAGCAUUUUCCCCGUUGUCCGUUUUCCAAUCCGGCGCUCCUAUCUCCUCCGGUGCACCCCUCUUGUUUUCUUUCGUGUGCGUGUGUCAAACUUUCUCGGAAUGGACCGAGGCUUGUCAAGUGGCCUUAAUAUACCACCCGGAGACUACCGGUCAAGUUUCGUUCCAUUCGGAGGUCGUUUGGUACUCCAAUGGUUAACCGGGCAUCCGCAAUGUCCAUUUGAGUGUCCAGCAAAAACCCCCUCCAAAACCAGCCCAAAACCCACCAAACUCUCUUCCAUGCUCUAGGUCGUUCGAUCACGAUCGUGUGGGCGAAAACCGCACCUCAUUUGGAGCCUCCUAGCUCCCUCUACCUAUAAAUAUGUGAGCAUCCCGAAAAACGAAUCGCAGUCUAACCCUAGCGUCCUCCACCUCGCGCCGCCGGACAACGUCCACCCGCGCCGGACACAUCAGCGUCCGCCGCCGCCGUACCGCGCCGGCCCGCGGAGCCCACGUCGGGCCCCCGCGAGCNNNNNNNNNNNNNNNNNNNNNNNNNNNNNNNNNNNNNNNNNNNNNNNNNNNNNNNNNNNNNNNNNNNNNNNNNNNNNNNNNNNNNNNNNNNNNNNNNNNNNNNNNNNNNNNNNNNNNNNNNNNNNNNNNNNNNNNNNNNNNNNNNNNNNNNNNNNNNNNNNNNNNNNNNNNNNNNNNNNNNNNNNNNNNNNNNNNNNNNNNNNNNNNNNNNNNNNNNNNNNNNNNNNNNNNNNNNNNNNNNNNNNNNNNNNNNNNNNNNNNNNNNNNNNNNNNNNNNNNNNNNNNNNNNNNNNNNNNNNNNNNNNNNNNNNNNNNNNNNNNNNNNNNNNNNNNNNNNNNNNNNNNNNNNNNNNNNNNNNNNNNNNNNNNNNNNNNNNNNNNNNNNNNNNNNNNNNNNNNNNNNNNNNNNNNNNNNNNNNNNNNNNNNNNNNNNNNNNNNNNNNNNNNNNNNNNNNNNNNNNNNNNNNNNNNNNNNNNNNNNNNNNNNNNNNNNNNNNNNNNNNNNNNNNNNNNNNNNNNNNNNNNNNNNNNNNNNNNNNNNNNNNNNNNNNNNNNNNNNNNNNNNNNNNNNNNNNNNNNNNNNNNNNNNNNNNNNNNNNNNNNNNNNNNNNNNNNNNNNGAGGCCUCGCCUCCUCCUCGCCUCGCCGUCGCUUCCUCCUCCCCUCCGGCGAGCUCCGGCGGGCGGAGCCCCGAGCCCGAGCACGAGCAUCGCCAGAUCCGUUCGCGCGUUGACUUUUUCUCGCCCCUCUUUUUCUCUAAGUCCUCAGAUUUCAUCAGCAAGUUCCUCUGUUCGUAUAGCUAUAACUCCGUGCAUGUAGCUCCGAUUCGCGUGUAUAAUAUUUGAAAUUGUUCGUCUAGCGAUGCUCUUCAUUUUGUUAAAUUGCACCAUGUUCAUUAGAGGUCACCUUGAUGCCCAAAUCUCUGUUGGAAGAGGGCUAGUUGCUGUUAUUCUCUGGUUCUUAUCAGAACUUGGAGAUUUGUCAUUUUUGUAUCAUUUAAUCUAUGCAUCUUUUGAGCAUGAGCUCUACAUGUGUUUUGAAGUAUGCCAUGCCAUCUUUCCAGUGGUGUAGUCCAUGUAUUUUUGUGAUCUCUGUGGUGACUAGCACAAGCAUGCAAAGUAGGUCCCAUAAUAUUUCUGAUUUCAGGGACUUAGUGAUUUCUCUAAGUCCUUGUCUGCUGUAAUUUUGUUGCCAUGUAAACUUGAUGCUACAGAGAGAUCCAUGCAUAUUUUGGAGAUGUUCAGUAAGGAUGUUUUGUAGAUAUAGUUGUAAUUGAUCCAUUUCUGCAAUUGUUUGCAAUUAUGGAGUGCCAUAGCAUGACUCAAUCGUGCUCCACUUUUGCUAUAAAAUAUUUCUGGCAGAUUCUUAACAUGAUAUGCAAUUUUGCCAAGCUUAUUGUAGUUGAUCCAUACAUACUAUGCAAUUGUUCUUGCCAUGGUUAGCUUCAUAAACAUGCCAUAUUGCUAUAGGUAUGCUUGGUUUGUCAUGCAUUGCUCUGUAGUGAGUGCAUCAAGCUCACAAAGAGGCCUACAUAUUAUUAUUUCUGCCAUGCUCUGUUUUCUGCCAAGUCUGAAACCUGAUAAUGAAACUUGCUAUGUUUACAUGCUUGCCAUCAUAUCUUCUGGUCCUUUCUGGCUUAUGGUCAGUAAGGGACUUUUGUCAUGUGCUUUUAGUGGAACACUACCAUGCCUUAUUUUGCUAUGGUAAGUUCCUGUAGCAUGUUGAUUUCAUGCUCUGAAUAUUGCUACCUGAUGAUGAUUUCUGCCAUGUCCAGUUUUUCACUAAAAGUCUGUGAACCUGUUAUCUUUUGCACUUUUGUCAUGCUUGUUUGAGCUUGAUAUGUUGUGAACUAGCCGUAGCUCAGUGUUCGUCUUUUGUCAAGCAUCUCCUGUAGUUUACUGCCAUAUGCUUUGUUGCUAUGUUGGGGUGCUAUAGCAUUGUUACUUGGUGCAUUUUGAGUGCUAUCUUGCUGUUUAUCGCAGAUUCGUGUCAUUCUUGUUUUGCUUGCCAUUUGCAAACCGUGCAUCCGUUUCCGGUGAUCUUUAUAUCGAUUUCGACCGAAAUCAUCUCAUCUUUCCAGUGGCAUGCUUGGGUUGCCAAGUUACUGCCACGUUCAUCAUUUUCCUUCCGGAGCACGCAUAUGCAUCGCAUAUCAUAUCUCGCAUAUCAUACAUGUUUUGCAUCAUGUUGCUUGCGCAUUUCGCGUUGUUGAUUGUGGUUCCGUUUGUUUGUGUUCUUGUCUUGGGUAGAGCCGGGAGACGAGUUCGUGAACGAGGAACCUGUCGAGUACACUUACGAGGAUCAAGCUUUCGACAACUCUGAGAAUCUUGCAGGCAAGAUGACCACCCCUCGAAAUCACUUCUAUCUUUGCUUUGCUAGUUGUUCGCUCUAUUGCCAUGCUCCGCUACCUAUCACUUGCUAUAUCAUAUCUCCCAUUUAGCCAUGUCAACCUCUAACCAUCCUUUCCUAGCAAACCGUUGUUUGGCUAUGUUACCGCGUUUGCACAGCCCCUCUUAUAGCGUUGCUAGUUGCAUGUGAAGUUGAAGUUGUUCCAUGUCGGAACAUGGAUAUGUUGGGAUAUCAUAAUAUCUCUUAUUUAAUUAAUGCAUCUAUAUAUAUUUGGUAAAGGGUGGAAGGCUCGGCCUUAUGCCUGGUGUUUUGUUCCACUCUUGCCGCCCUAGUUACUGUUAUACCGGGAUUAUGUUCCUUGAGUUUGCGUUCCUUACGCGGUCGGGUGAUUUAUGGGACCCCCUUGACAGUUCGCCUUGAAUAAAACUCCUCCAGCAAGGNNNNNNNNNNNNNNNNNNNNNNNNNNNNNNNNNNNNNNNNNNNNNNNNNNNNNNNNNNNNNNNNNNNNNNNNNNNNNNNNNNNNNNNNNNNNNNNNNNNNNNNNNNNNNNNNNNNNNNNNNNNNNNNNNNNNNNNNNNNNNNNNNNNNNNNNNNNNNNNNNNNNNNNNNNNNNNNNNNNNNNNNNNNNNNNNNNNNNNNNNNNNNNNNNNNNNNNNNNNNNNNNNNNNNNNNNNNNNNNNNNNNNNNNNNNNNNNNNNNNNNNNNNNNNNNNNNNNNNNNNNNNNNNNNNNNNNNNNNNNNNNNNNNNNNNNNNNNNNNNNNNNNNNNNNNNNNNNNNNNNNNNNNNNNNNNNNNNNNNNNNNNNNNNNNNNNNNNNNNNNNNNNNNNNNNNNNNNNNNNNNNNNNNNNNNNNNNAGCAGACUGCGGGGCCCCCUCCUGGAAACUCGAGGUCUGGUUUUACUCAUAGGAUGUCUCAUCCAGUGUGCCCUGAGAAUGAGAUAUGUGCAGCUCCUAUCGGGAUUUGUCGGCACAUUCGGGUGGCUUCGCUGGUCUUGUUUUACCAUUGUCGAGAUGUCUUGUAAACCGGGAUUCCGAGACUGAUCGGGUCUUUCCGGGAGAAGGUUUAUCCUUCGUUGACCGUGAGAGCUUAUGAUGGGCUAAGUUGGGACACCCCUGCAGGGUAUUAUCUUUCGAAAGCCGUGCCCGCGAUUAUGAGGCAGAUGGGAAUUUGUUAAUGUCCGGUUGUAGAAAACUCGUCACUUGACCCAAGUAAAAUACAUCAACCGCGUGUGUAGCCGUGAUGGUCUCUUCUCGGCGGUGUCCGGGAAGUGAACACGGCCUGUGUUAUGUUUGACGUAAGUAGGUGUUCAGGACCUCUUCUUGGUCAUUGCUAGAUGACGUCCGUUCCGUUGCUUCUCUUCUCGCUCUCAUUUGCGCAAGUUAGCCACCAUAUAUGCUUUUGCCGCUGCAGCUCCACCUCUUUGCACCCCCCCCCCUUUCCUAUAAGCUUAAAUAGUCUUGAUCUCGCGGGUGUGAGCUUGGUGAGUCCCCGUGACUCACAGAUUCUACCAAAACAGUUGCAGGUGCCGACGAUGCCAGUGCAGACAAUGGCGUCGAUCUCAAGUGGGAGUUCGACGAGGAACGUGGUCGUUACUAUGUGUCUUUUCCUGAUGAUCAGUAGUGGAGCCCAGUUGGGACGAUCGGGGAUCUAGCAUUUGGGGUUGUCUUAAUUUCAUCUGGAUUUUGACCGUAGUCGGUCUAUAUGAUUGUUUUUUUGGAUGAUGUAUGAUGAUAUUUAUGUAUUGUGUGAAGUGGCGAUUGUAAGCCAACUCUUUAUCCCAUUCUUGUUCAUUACAUGGGAUUGUGUGAAGAUGACCCUUCUUGCGACAAAACCACUAUGCAGUUAUGCCUCUAAGUCGUGCCUCGACACGUGGGAGAUAUAGCCGCAUCGUGGGCGUUACAACAUCAGACUACUAUUCUUGCAUAUCCCACAUCAGUCACUUAUGAUAAGGCACCUUUAAGUCGCCACUGUGAUAUUGGUUGUGUCUUGCAUAUGAUUUCUAGCAUGUACUGCUUCUAAUUUGUUGAAACGCCAUACAGUUUGAACUUGGUAGAGUGAUAUUGGUUGCAUCUUUCAUAUGGUGUCUAGCUUGAAGUGCUUCUAAUUUGUUGAAAUGCCUUCUGCUUAGUUACCACAUCAUAGGUGUGAAUAUGUCACACCAUCCUGUUUUUCAUACAUAUUCCAUCCUCGCAUCAUGUGUUUGACUUUCAUCCGAGUAGUGUUCAUCAGUAUCAUGCAUGAAUGAGUUCUGAAGAGCGAAUUUUAUUCAUUUUUCUUAUCUGUUUGACUUCACAAUGCAAAAUCAUUACAGCUGAAGGAAAUUAGUCCGGUAGUGGAUGAUGGUGGUCCUUCGGAGCAACUCAAACACGGGGUCUCUACAGAUUCUACUCCGCCAUCCUCCCAACAAGAUUCGCAAGACAACACAAGGCUGGACAGUCAACGUAGCUGUGUAGAUGAUGAGCACAUCUCCCCUACUCCACCAUCACAGGUGCUUGCUCUAAAUUGACACUAUUAUAUGUGGUUGCAUGUUGUGUAUGAUGUCUAGCUUGUAUUGCUUCUAACUUGAAUUGCAUCUGCUUACUUUACACAUAAUGCCUGUGAAUAUGACACGUGUUCCUGUUUCUAGAACAUACGUGUACAUGAUGAGCACAUAUCCCCUAGUCCACCAUCACAGGUGCUUGCUCUUACUUGGAACUGUUAUACGUGGUUGCGUUUUCCGUAUGAUGUCUAGUUUGUAUUGCUUCUGAUUAUGUUGAAUUGCAUCUGCGUAGCUUACAACUUAUACCUGCAACGAUCACUUACCCAUAAGACACAUUUAACUUGGGACUGUGAUGUAGGUUGCAUCUUGCAUUGUCUUCUAGCUUAUACUACUUCUAAUUUCUAGAAAUGGCACUUACGACGAGACACUUUUUACCUGAUAGAGUGAUAUUGGUUGCAUGUUCAUAUGGUGUCUAGCUUUCAUUUCUUCUAAUUUUGUUGAAAUGCCUUCCGCUUACUGUUUUUUCAUACAUAUUCCAUCCUCCUAUCGUACGUGUGAAUAUGAAACGCUGUCUUUUUUGUAUAUAUUCCAUCCUCCUAUCCCGCGCUUGUCUUACAUCAAAGUAGUGUUCGUCUGUAUCAUGCAUCAACCAGUUAUGCAGAGCUAAUUUUAUUCAUCUUCUUGUGGUUUUGACUUCAUAAGGCAAUAUCAGAAAAUAGGAAGGAAAAGAGUAAGUUAGGGGAUGUUGGUGGUCCUCCGGGCCGACGCAAACAGAGACUCUCUAGAUUUGCCACUGCUACUGCUAAUGAAGUUGAAGUCCCAAGUCUACAUGAUGAGUUCAUCUCCCAUACUCCACCAUCGUAGGUGCUUGCUCUAAGUUGACAGUGUGAUAAUUGGUUUCAUGUUGCAUAUGUUGUCUAGCAUGUAUUUCUUCUAUUUUGAUUAAGUUGCACGUGCUGAGUUCAUACGUUAUACAUGUGCAUAUGACAUGGCUUUCUAUGUCUAAAAUACACUGCAUCUAUCUAUCAUACCAUGUUCUUACAUCAAAGUACUGCUGUUGUGUAUCCCGCAUCAGUCACUCAUGAUUGGAUGCUUUUAACAUGGCAGUUUGAUAGUGGUUGCAUCUUGCAUUGAUUUCUACGUUGUACUGCUUCUAAUUUUUCGAAUUGCCACUUAUGACAAGACACUUUUAACUUGGCAGAGUAAUAUUGGUUGCAUCUUUCAUAUGGUGUCUAGCUUGCAUUACUUCUAUUUUCUUGAAAAUCCUUCUGCUUAGUUUGCACAUCGUAGCUGUGAAUAUGUCAUGCCGUCCUGUUUUUCUUACAUAUUCCAUCCUCAUACGGUUGUCUUACAUCAAAGUAUUGCUUGUCUGUAUCAUGCAUCAAUGAGUUAUGAAGAGUGAUUUUAUUCUUUUGUGUUGUGGGUACAGCUUGACAUGGCAAAGUCAAAAAAGAGCAAGGAAAAUAAUAUAGUAGGGAGUGCUGUUACUCGUCGGGUGAAACGGAAAAGGUUCUGCCAUCGAGAUUCUGGUGGUACUUAUAGUGCAGUAGAAGGUCCAAGUCCACCGGCUAAAUCUAUAAACACAGUAUCACCUGCUCCACCAGCUGCAGCAUCCGCUUCAACUGUACCAGCAUCUCAACCAGUUACUCGUUCGUUUGCUCCGGAACUGGCCAGUUCCCAAGCUGCCUUCACACCUAACACUAGUUUCGAAGCACUGCUGACACAACAGGACUUGGCAAGAUCAGAUGAACCUCAUGAGCAUCAACACCAAGACGGUACCUGACCGAGUCAAGUUGCAGUUGCAUGCUCCUUUAUAUGUACUCUCACAGUUUGAUGUACACUAACACUUUCCAUAUUCGUUGUCGAACUAGCACCACGGCGCAAGCGGAAAUAGACAUCAGGGAUAAUGCUUGAUAGAUUAACAAAAUCUAAAGGAGGAAGAAUGGAGAUCCAUUUUGAGGCAGGUUUAAAAAGGCCACGUGAUGCUACAGAGUCAGCCAAGUUAGUAUCAGAGGCAGCUGUUGCCGUUAGGUGUCAUGCACGUAUCCUCCCAACGUGGAUCCAGUAUAGGAAUGAGAAAGACAAUACCCGGUUUAACACCUUCCUUGACCAUUUAUCCGUAAGUAAUGUUAUUCAUCGCAAUUAGUAAUAUUGUCUUGCUCUGUCCCAUACUUUCUAGCUUCCUCCUAAUAAGACUCACAUUCUUUUUUCAACAGAUGAGGUUCAAGUUGGAUCCGAAAGAUGAUGCAACUAAACAAGCAUGCACUCAUGUUUUUCAGUCUGCUCUGCGACAGUAUCGGUACCACCUUAGAAAAUCUCACUUUGAAGGCAAGGCUAACAAUGAAAUCGCCCAAACAUCUCCAGUGGAAUAUAUUACAGAUGAAGACUGGACAGCCCUCGUUAAACACUGGUCUGAUCCAAAGUAUCAGGUAGGCUAUAUGUAUUUGAUCAGACCACAUAUUGAACUUGUAUUUAUGUAUGUGCCCUACAAGUGUAUCUUCUUCUAGGCUAACUGUUUGAAGAACAAAACCAACCGUUAUAAAGUGAAAUUCCAACAGACAACAGGAUCUCGUAGCUAUAUUGCACACUGCGAGGCUCUUGUAAAUAGCUGCUACUUCCUUCUUUUUUGUGCCAUAUUAUCGUAUCUAUAUUGACUUGUUCCAAAUACAGAGGAAAGCCCGUGCGGACCAAAAAGAACCUGAACCGAAUGCAGUGCAAAUCUUCAAGGAUUGCCACACCAGCAAGAUGAAGGGCAUGAGCACACCAGUUCAAGCCGCUGUUGUAAGUCCUUACUCCUCCUGCCUUGAACUGAUUGGUACUGUGAUGUGUUCAUUUAACUACUUGGUUUGCAGCCAAUGUCAGUUACUCUGUUCACUUUUAUUCACAGUUGUCUUAACAUAUCAUUUCACCUUACAUGGUUUAAAAGAGAUGAAGGAUAUUCUUUUGGUCUUGAUCUGUAAUCUAGUUGAUAUGUUCACGUGCGCACACAAUGAUAAAAUAGCCUGUUUGUUUUAUAUCUGUUUGCCCAUGAUAUGAAUGAUGUCAUACUAUGUUCAUCCUACUUUAAACCAUGUCUCUUUAUCCUUAGAUGUCAACGAAUGUGAGGAAAUAGACAAUACAGUAGGCAUGCUACAUGGACAUAUGUUCCGAAAGUGAUUUUAUUAUGUAGUUGGCACUACAAUACAUGCUAAUGUAUUACAGUAGUUCACCAAAAUAAGUUAUGUAUAAACGUUUAACCUACUUUGUUUGUUUUUGUCUCAUUAGUAACUUAUCUGGUACACUAAUCUACAAGUUCAAACUUUCAGGAAGCUAUGGAACAAAUGAUUGAACAGCCACAACCACCUGAAGGUGACGAGGCUACUACAGGCACAAUGUCACCUCUUGCUGCAGUUCGUCAGUAUCUCUCCACUAACAGUGCAAAAAAGCACCUUCCUGCGUAAUUCUGGGUUGGUUGUCAAGGUAACCUCGUCCAAAUUGCCUACUAAACAAAAUCUUCCUGCUAGACAGAGUGAUAUAUCUGUGCUCCAGACACAAGUCCAAUUCCUAAUGGACGGUGUUUCGGAAACAAGAAUAGUGGUUGAGAAAUGUCGUCAAGAUAUGAAUGGUUUUGAAACCAGACUAUCAGACAUUCGCUUCGUUGUUCAAGAGCAAUGGCGGAAAAAAGGUGGAGAUCGUGCUGCUCCAUCAGAUUCUACAGCCUGAAACAUUAGCACUCAGGUCAAAUGAUCUGUGCUUCUAUACAUCUGAUGGUGUUUUUAUCUGGAAGGACUGUAAACUUUAUGCCAACAGGCCUUUUGUUGUAUGGUUGGAAUUUAUUUUGUUGUGAUACAACAUUUAUGAUGCUGCCUCAAGCUGCAGUAAUUACGACGCUAUUUUUGUAUAGUGUAGGUUUAUCUUAGUAAUGUAUUCGGCCGAAAGCUUCGUAGGAGCCCAACAUGCCAACAUUCGUCGGGCCCAUUCCAAUUGGGCUAAAAACGAUUACGGGCCGAAAUUGGCAUGUAGCCCACUAAAAAUAUCUGGGCCUAAAUCAGCAUAAGCUUUCAUAUUUUUCUGGUAGGCAUGUGCCCAUAGUGGGCCUUUAACAGGCCUAAACAUAAUUUGGGCCCUCAGUAAAAAUAGGCCGUUUACAGGUGUAAAUAUCUCGAGCCCAUAAAAAACAUGGGCCUUUAAUAGACCGAAAGUGAGAUUGGGCCCUGAUUGUGCCAAAUAACCCACUAGACUUAGUAGGCCGAAAUGGUGGCCCAUUUACGAUGCGGAUCUUUGACAGGCCGAAAUUCGGACGGGCCGUAAAUGCGCCGACCUAAUACACGGGCCUUUAACAGGCCGGAACUUCGGUCGGGCUAGAUUAUCAUCAUUUUUAUAUGGGCCGUUAAUGGGCCCGAUAUGACGUUGGGCCACAUAUGGCCCAUGGUUUACGUCCGGCGUUAACAGGACGAAAAUGACAACAGGCCGAAAGUGGCCCAAAGCUAUAGUGGGCCUCUAACAGGCCGAAUGUCAGACAUGGCCGAAUAUGACCCAAAUCAUUCACGUUCGUUUAUGGGCCGAAAGUUUUGAUGGCCUGUAAAUGGGCCCAAAUGAAGCCGGACCUUUAACAGGUCGGAAAUACACCGGGCCGUAAUUCAGCCCAAUUACUUAGCGGACUGUUAACGGGCAAGAAGUGACCAUGGGUCGCAUUGAUGACAAGUUUAGGACAGGCCGUUGACAGGCCAAUUUGACAGAGAAUGUUGGGCCUUUAGCUGGGCCGGCCCAUUAUGGUCUGCAAAAUAUUGUGGGCCUUUAGCUGGGCCGGCCCAUUGUGGUCCGCAAAAUCUUGUGGGCCUUUAGCUGGGCCGGCCCAUUAUGGUCUGCAAAAUCGUGUGGGCCUUUAGCUGGGCCGGCCCAUUAUGGUCCGCUAAAUUUUGUGGGUCUUUAGCUGGGCCGGCCCAUUAUGGUCCGCUAAAUCUUAUGGGCCUUCGGUUGGGCCGGCCCAUUUAAACUUUGUGGGCCACUUUUGGGCCGGUCCACGUGUCGGUCCGUCAGCCAAUGAGAAUUUUACACGUGGAAAAUCGGCAUUGGUCGUGGCUGUUAAUGGGUUAUCGGAUCCAAAAUCUGACCCGAUAGCUUAACGGCGUUCCGUUACGGUGAAUGCCACGUGUCGGUCACCCUUGAUGAAAGCACUUCUGUGACGCGCGAUUUAUCGUCAUGGAAGUGGACACUUCCGUGAUGAUAAUUUUGGCAAUGUCAUGGAACACUUCUACGACAGCACAGGUAUGACUAUCUUGAUUCUGUCAUAAAUUUGUCAUGGAUGUACAUGCAUGACAGAAAACGCGACCUACUGUGACAAACACAUAUCAUCACGGAAGUGUAUUUUUUUGUAGUGCAUGGGGCUGUAGGUAAUUUAAUCGCAAAUGUUUUUAUUUUAUUAAUCGUAUAUCUACGUGUCCUUUCGUCCUCCUCUCGCACGUCUUGUCACCCCGCUGCCGCAGACGGCUUAGAGCGCAAGCUUGAGCAGCGCGUGGGGCCGUUCUUUUGAUCAAACGGUCAUGAGCCCAUUCCAGCGCAACCGCGCAGGUUCCCGCGCAAGCUUCCCGUCCGACUCGGUGAAAUCCCCCAAAAUGCCAAUGCUUACCGGCCUACUAUAAAAAACAUCACGGCCGGCGAGUCCUGCGAGGCAUUUUCCCCUCCCUCCCUGUAGCUUAUCUCAUCUGCUUCUCCCACAAUCGCCAAUGGCACCGGUACGUCGUCGUCGCUCAGCCACUCCGCCGUCAUCAGAGGACAGCUCCAGCUGGGAGGCUACACCGCGGCGGCAGCGCAGUCCCCGGUGUAGUGUAGUGCGCGUGGCGUCCCUGCCGCUGCCCAUCAGCAGAUGUUGCCGACUGCCGUUGCCGCCACCCCACCAUCUACCGCCGUGGCCGCCACACCGCCCUCGAAAGCUAGGGCCAUCUCCCACUCCCCCACCGCGGCCCGAAGGCGGGAGGUGGCCGUCGUGGCCGCAACCCACUACCGGCCACCGUGGCCAUCACCCGCUCCGUCGUCGUGACCCGAAGGCAGGAGGUGGUUGUCGUGGCCGCCACCCCAUUGUCGGCCGCCGUGCUCGCCAGCCCACCGUCGACCACCGGGGUCAUUACCCGCUCCGCCACCGCCGCCCGAAGGCGGGAGGCGGAGGUGGAGGCCCGCACGUGCGUCAGCGACCUUGCGCAUUACAUCAAGUUCCUGCGGGAGGAGGAGGAGCGCCUCGUCGAGCACGCAAAGAGCCUUACCGCCGCCGUGGCCGCAGCACACGCUGCCCAAGAGGCGAGGAAUCAGGAAAUCUACAAGGAGAACCACCACUUCGAGAGGGGUCGUCUGGAGCGGCAGAGGGCGUUCGAGGUGAGCAUCGCUGAAGGUGCAGCAGCGGCAGGCACCGUAUUGCAGUUAUCCAGCUCGUCGGUAGGCUCCUCCUCUGCCUCUUACUGAGGGCGCUCAGCAGAGGAGAUGCUGUGGAAGUAGUACAAAGCCCCUCCGUAGUAGUAGUAUUUAGAGGCUAUUUUGUUUAGUUCAUCUGACUAUAGAUGUGGUGGAACUGUACAACGUACUUAAAAUUGGCUAGUAUAUAUAGUUGAACUAGCUAUUUCACUACGUGGUUGGCAACAAUUGGGGAAAAGUUUGGUCGGUUCAGCUAUCGAGUUGAACUGUUUGUAUAAAGAACGACUGCUUAAUCUAUGAAUGAAAUCUAUGCUUAAUUACUGAAUUUUAGUUGCAAAAAUUAGAUAGUGCUAGUGAUUUUUAGCUGCAUAUUUUGACAAAUCGCAGUGUUACAAGGUUGACAAAUGGCAAUGUUACUAGAUCAACAAAUGUCAAUCUUUUUAGUUUGACAAAUGGCAAUAUACCCAAUAUGACAGAUGCAAAUCUUACCAAAUUGUCUGUGCGUGGUUGCACAUGGGUCAUCCAAAACAACUGUUUGUGCUGAAGGGAUGUACAAAUCCUGCUCGGCACAUUUUCUCUUGGUUUAGCACCGAAGUCUGGCUUUAUAUACCGUAUUCAAUCUGAACCGUUUGUGUUGAAGAUAUGCACAAAUCCUGCGCUGCGAAUUUUCCCUUGACUUACUGCGGAAGACCAUAGCUCUCACUUUGCAUACGGGUGUUCUAUCCAAAAUGUUUGCGAUCAAGAGCUGCACAAAUCUUGCUCGUCACAUUUUCCCUUGGCUUCCUGGGGAAGCUAUCGGUUGCAUACGGGUGUUCGAACUAAGACGUUUGCGAUGAAUGUUUUAUAUUUAAAAACCAUUGACGUUUUUUCUAAAAGAAAAUCGUUUGAUAAGUCUGUACGUUAAGAGAGAAAAACGCAAGUUCGUUCAAACCAUAUCUUUCAUUCGGUCACAUUGCGAAUUUAUAUUCAUAUGAUCGAGAUACAAUAAUAAACCCAAAAAAACUAUUUCCGGCGGCGGCGGAGGCGGCGUGCCGCGCCGGCGUUGUCAUUGUCGUCCUCUGGGACGCCGUUGUUGAAGUCUUCAAGGUAGCACAGAAUGUUCUUCACUUGGAAAUCAAACAUCAUAUCGUUGCGCGAUCGACGGGCGAGGCGCGGGAGGACGGCAACUGGCGGCGCUGCAAGGUAGCGGUCGAUGGCGGCAUCCCAUGCCACUGAGGGGGGGCGCGCACGGGCACGGGCGCGGCGGGUGCAGGAAAAUGCACGGGGACCGGCGCCUCGGUGGGUGCAGGGGCGCGCACGGGCACGGGCGUUGGCGCUGGCAUGUACACGAGCUCACGCGGGUCCAUGGAGACCUCGCUGACGCCCGCGGCUUCCAGCUCUGCGAUAGUGCUCGGCGACUAGCCCGUCAAUGCUACGGGGAUGGUCGCAGGUGCGGGCGCGGGGAUGGGAGCUGGGACGGGCGCGGGGGCAGCAACCGCCACGGCUAGCUCGUUCAGGGCCAUGUCCAUGAGGCCCCAUUCCUCCUUAUUUUCUAACUCCUGUGGUUCAGAGUCGACUUCACCAAACUUGAAGAGUAGUGGUAGAUGAUCCUUCCGCGGCAUGGCGUUGGUGGAGGUCUGCGGGAGGGAGGGGAAUGGGAGGCGAACAGUAAGGCCGCUCGUAUUAAACAGUGGCUCGGGCACCCUUAAUGGAGAGGAUGCGAGUAAGGCAGGCGGCCAUGGAAGUCAAAGGGCUCGCUUCCCAGUGAGCCUACGCAGCGUACAGCUUGCACGCUUCCCGGUGAGCCUGCGCAGCGUACAGCUUGCACGCUUCCCGGUGAGCCUGCACAUUGGAGGACAGCUUGCAUGCUUCUCGGUGAGCAUGCGCACCGGACUGUGCUCGCACGCCUCCCGUUCAGUCAAGCAACUGUCUGCAUGACACCUCCUAUAGCCAUUAAAAGAGAGACACGUGGUGUCACGUGAAUGGUUAACAGAACGCACAUGAUUUAAAUUAUACAAACAUUUGUGACAUUAAAGUGCCAGCUAUUUGUUUCAAAAUGCCUUUGUUGGUUGUUAUUCGAGUGCGCCUUCUCUCAAAAUGGACAUGAAAAACACCACGGCAUGUCGGGUGCCAUUCCAUGAUAGCAUGCCAAGUUUCAUGAAUUUCGGACGAGUUUUGGAUUUACUAAAAUUUAAAAAUAAAGUAUCUCAACAUUUUGCCGGCAAUCAACAGUGCCUUGGUGUUUGAAAUUCAUUUCCAUUUCUUGCAUGGGACCUAAGCAUGCACCUAAGGACACACAUUUGUAAUGUCAACCCAUUUUUCUACACUGGAGCAUGUGCAUGUAGUUCAAAUUUGAAUUAUGCACAUAAAAUGCCUAGAAAACCCAGUUAAUGUAUAAAAAUGUCCAAGCGAACCCUGAAAAAUCCCAAAUAUUGACACAACACUUCUGUCUUCUAUGUUGACACUAGAAAUUUUUUGAAAGCAAGAAGAGGCAACGGAUAUUGUUUCGUCCCGAAAGGUGGCACGUUCCCUACCAAAACCAUCAGGCUUGUUGUGAGAAGGUCUGGUUUGCGAGAAGCUUAUACCCAAACCUGCCCCAAAUGGGACAAAAAAUUACCACAGCAUGUUGAUGCCGCUCCAUGAUAGCAUGUCAAAUUUCAUGAACUUCUGACGAUUUUUGGAUUUACUAUUAAAAACCAUGUAUCUCAAUGUUUGCAGUCGAGCGGCGGUGGCAAGGUGUUUGACAUUCAUUCUCAUUUCUUGCAUGGGACCUAAGCAUGCAACCAAGGACACAUAUUUACUUUUUCAACAAAUUUACAUGCACUGGAGCAUGCGCCUGUAGUUCAAAUUUGAAUUAUGCACAUAAAAUGCCUAGAAAACCCAGUUAAUGUAUAAAAAUGUCCAAACAAACCCCGAAAAAUCCCAAAAAUUGACACAACUCUCAUGUCAUUCUAUGUUGACACUAGAAAAAAAUUGAAAGCAAGAAGAGGCAACGGAUAUCGUUUCGUCCACAAAGGUGGCACGUUCCCUACCAAAACCAUCAGGCUUGUUCUAAGAAGCUCUGGUUUGCGAGAAGUUUAUACCCAAACCAGCCCCAAAUGGGACAAUAUUUUUACCACGACAUGUUGAUGUCGUUCCAUGCUAGCAUGUCAAGUUUCAUAAAUUUCAGACGCAUUUUCGAUUUACUAGAAUUUAAAAACCAUGUAUCUCAAUGUUAGCGGCCGAGCGACAGUGGCGAGGUGUCUGACAUUCAUUCUCAUUCUUGCAUGGGACUUAAGCAUGCAACCAAGGACACACAUUUCAAUUUUUAACCCAUUUAUAUGCACUAGAGCAUGUGCAUGUAGUUCAAAUUUGAAUUAUGCACAUAAAUGCAUAGAAAACUCAGUUAAUGUAUAAAAAUGUCCAAGCGAACCCCAAAAAUCCCAAAAAUUGACACGACACUCCUGUUGUUCUAUGUUGACACGAGAAAAAAAAUUAAAGUAAGAAGAGGCAACAGAUAUUGUUUCGUCCCCCAAGGUGGCACGUUCCCUACCGAAACCAUCAGGCUUGUUGUGAGAGAAGCUCUGGUUUGCGAGAAGCUUAUACCCAAACCUGCCCCAAAUGGGACAAUAUUUUUACCACGGCAUGUCGAUGCCGUUCCAUGAUAUCAUGUCAAGUUUCUUGAAUUUCAGACGAGUUUUCGAUUUACUAGAAUUUUAAAACCAUGUAUCUCAAUGUUAGCGGCCGAGCGACAGUGUCAAGGUGUUUGACAUUCAUUCUCAUUUCUUGCAUGUGACCUAAGCUUGCAAACGGGGACACACAUUUGAUUUUUCAACCCAUUUUUAUGCACUGGAGCAUGUGCAUGUAGUUCAAUUUUGAAUUAUGCACAUAAAUGCCUAGAAAACUCAGUGUCCAAACGAUCCUCGAAAAAUUCCAAAAUUUAACAUGACACUCCUGUUGUUCUAUGUUGACACCAGGAAAAAAAUGAAAGCAAGAAUGGGCGACGAAUAUCGUUUUGUCCACAAAGGUGACACGUUUCCCUAACGGAACCAUGAGGCUUCUUGUGAGAAGCUCUGGUUUGUGAGAAGCUUAUACCAUAACCUGCCCCAAAUGGGACAAUAUUUUUUACCCCAACAUGUUGAUGCCAUUCCAUGAUAGCAUGCCAAGGUUCAUGAAUUUCAGCGGGUUUUGGAUUUACUAGAAUUACAACAGCAAGUACCUCAAUGUUUGCCGGAGAGCCACGGUGAGGUGGUGUUCAAAAUUCAUCCCCAUUUCUUGCAUGGGACAUAAGCAUAAACCCAUGGACACAUAUAUGAUUUUACAACCUAUGUUGGUGCACCGGAGCAUGUGCAUGUAGUUUAAUUUUGAAUUGGGCACCUGAAAUGGCUAGAAAACCAAGUUAAUGUAUAAAAAUGUCCAAACGAACCCUGAAUAAUUCCAUUUUUUUAUGAUACACCUAUAGUUGCAUGUUCACUGCAGAUAAAAGUUCUAGCAAUUCAAACACCCUCCAUUGCCGCUGUGACCCCAUUAUGUAAUUCAAAUCACGAUGAAAAAUCAAGUAGAUCACACACAGUUUAUUAUCACAAACCGUGUGAGAUGCAAUACAAAAUAUCUUGGAGCACCGUCGGAUUAUAGUACGCCUAUGGCUUACGUGAGAAGGUGCAUCGGCUACAGUCCACACCCGGCGUGUCAAGCACACUAGCUCGCUCCCCAAAUAUCAUUUCACUGUUCAAUCAUCGCUGGUGAAAGAUGGGGACGUGGACCCGCGUCGUGAGGGCAACUUCGGCGGCCCACUCGGCGAGAGCGCGGCCGCAGCCGCCAUGUGCGUGCUAACAAGGUGCAUGAGCGCAGCCGUAAUCUGUGACCGGGCGGCCAAGGCAGCCCAAACGGCCGCUGUUGCUUCUCAGGUGGCAGCAGCAACAUCUGCCUCGGGGAUAGCAACUGGCGAGAGCAGCACAACAGUUGUCCGUUCCGCAGUGGCGGCCUUGGCCCUGAUGGAGGCCGCCCAUGACCAUGUCGAGGCCGCCCACGCCCAACUCGUGGCGGUCACCACACAAAUCGAACGAAGCUUCUCCGACAACGGUCGACAACCCAUGACCGAAGAGUUGGCAAUCGCCGAGAGCGUUUGAGCAUCCGUCCGUUCCUCCGCCGCAUACCUUGCCACGACGGAGCCGGUCCAAGCCCAGAUCGCGGCCGCCCACGCCCAGCUCGUGGAGGCCUUUUCCAAAGAGAUGGCGGACGCGGAUGGCGAGAUGCUUGCCGAGUAUGGUGCAAUGGAUGCCAUGGAGCCCCUUCCCCAGGAGACCGUUGGGCGCGAGCUGGACAUGGAGGAGGCGGCAGAGAUCGACAAGCACCAGCCAUAGUAGUACUCUUUGUUUUUUUAAUUAAUUAAGAGCGCCGGUCUUUAAUUUGUUAGAGUAAUGUUUAGGUCAGCUAGCUCUGUUAAAUUGUUGAACUUGCUUGAUUAAGAAGUGUGGGUGUGCUGUAGUCUCCUUUGUGUACCCAAAUUAUGCAAUGACAUGGAUGACCACUGUAACCAGGGAAAUUCGAACCAAAAAUUUUGACGUACAAACUCAUCACACACGGGUUAAGCUGUAUGAAUCGUUUGUGAUGUUCACAUAUUGUACACAGUGCUGAAUAAGGGACCGUGUCUGAUGACACUUUGCGCGCCAUUUUUUUCGCUGCACCGAUUCAAAAAUUUUGGAUUCCGCGGAAAUAUCUACCUCCCCGCCCCCUCCCCAUUACCAAAAGCCACAUUUCCCAUGUUUCCGCCUUCCUUUCCAAGUUGAAACCUUCACUCCUUGCUUGCAGCGCCGCCUCCUCGCCGACGACCCUCAUUCACACUGCUCGGCCUCGUCUAUCCAGGCAGGUAAUCCACACCCAACCCCCAUCCCUCUCCUCCUUCCACAUCCCACAUGCCCCGACCGCCGACGCGACACCUUCCACCCAAAUCACUGACCCUCCCCCAAAUAAGCAUCGCUCUAAGCCAUGGUGCAUGCAGUAUAGCCAGGAGCUCAAGUUGCAUUUGGCAGCGGAGAAGCAAAUCGCGGUCGCACGCGUGGAUGAGGUCGUGAUGGCUGCCAUUCGUGCUGACCCCCAGAUCUUGGAGGAGAACCUCGCCGUCGAGGCCACCGUCAGCGCCUCGCGCGUCGACGCCGCGAUGCGGUUGGUUGCUUUAAACGACAGUUCAUGGCGUUUUCUCGAGGCCACCCUCGGUGCCUUCGACGAAGACUAUACGGUGUUUUCUCGGCGUGCACGUGCUUACCUCAACUCGAGAGCUAGUAGGUUGGUGCCCCGAGCGGCUCAGGCAACUCACCACUACAACGAGGGCACCCACGAUGUGGAGGCCUCGCCCUCUUCCAUGUCCAAGGAGCCAAUCAUCAUCGAUAUCUCCGACGAUGAGGAGUAGCUUGUCUUAUUAGCUCACUAUAAGGACCCAUGUUUAGUUUGCUAGUGAUACGUCUCCAACGUAUCUAUAAUUUUUUAUUGUUCCAUGCUAUUAUAUAUUCUGUUUUGGAUGUUUAAUGGGCUUAUUUAUACACUUUUAUAUUAUUUUUGGGACUAACCUAUUAACCCAAGGCCCAGUGCAAAUUGCUGUUUUUUUGCCUAUUUCAGUGUUUCGCAGAAAAGGAAUAUCAAACGGAGUCCAAACGGAAUGAAACCUUCGGGAGAGUUAUUUUUGGAACAAACGUGAUCCAGAGGACUUGCAGUGGACGUCAAGAAAUCAUCGAGGAGGCCAUGAGGCAGGGGGCGCGCCUACCCCCCCCCCCCCUAGGCGUGCCCUCCACCCUCGUGGGCCCCUCAUGGCUCCACCGACCUACUUCUUCCUCCUAUAUAUACCUACGUACCCCGAAACCAUCGAGGAGCACCACGAAAACCUAAUUCCACCGCCGCAACCUUCUGAACCCGUGAGAUCCCAUCUUGGGGCCUUUUCCGGCGCUCUGCCGGAGGGGCAUCGAUCACGGAGGGCUUCUACAUCAACACCAUAGCCUCUCCGAUGAUGUGUGAGUAGUUUACCACAGACCUUCGGGUCCAUAGUUAUUAGCUAGAUGGCUUCUUCUCUCUCUUUGGAUCUCAAUACAAAGUUCUCCUCGAUCUUCUUGGAGAUCUAUUUGAUGUAACUCUUUUUGCGGUGUGUUUGUCGAGAUUCGAUGAAUUGUGGGUUUAUGAUCAAGAUUAUCUAUGAACAAUAUUUGAAUCUUCUCUGAAUUCUUUUAUGUAUGAUUGGUUAUCUUCACAAGUAUCUUCGAAUUAUCAGUUUGGUUUGGCCUACUAGAUUGAUCUUUCCUGCAAUGGGAGAAGUGCUUAGCUUUGGGUUAAAUCAUGCGGUGCUUGAUCCCAGUGACAGUAGGGGAAACGACACGUAUUGUAUUGUUGCCAUCGAGGAUAAAAAGAUGGGGUUUAUAUCAUAUUGCUUGAGUUUAUCCCUCUACAUCAUGUCAUCUUACCUAAUGCGUUACUCUGUUCUUAUGAACUUAAUACUCUAGAUGCAUGCUGGAUAGCGGUCGAUGUGUGGAGUAAUAGUAGUAGAUGCAGGCAGGAGUCGGUCUACUUGUCGCGGGCGUGAUGCCUAUAUACAUGAUCAUGCCUAGAUAUUCUCAUAAUUAUGCACUUUUCUAUCAAUUGCUCGACAGUAAUUUGUUCACCCACCGUAAUACUUAUGCUAUCUUGAGAGAAGCCACUAGUGAAACCUAUGGCCCCCGGGUCUAUCUUCCAUCAUAUUAAUCUCCCGUCAACAAGCUAUUUCUGUCGCCAUUUAUUUUGCUUUUCUUUACUUUUAGUCUUUGUCAUAAAAAUACAAAAAAUACUAUCUUAUCAUCUCUAUCAGAUCUCACUUUUGCAAGUGGCCGUGAAGGGAUUUACAACCCCUUUAUCGCGUAGGUUGCAAGGUUCUUAUUUGUUUGUGUAGGUACGAGGGACUUGCGUGUGGCCUCCUACUAGAUUUAUACCUUGGUUCUCUAAAACUGAGGGAAAUAGUUACGCUACUUUGCUGCAUCACCCUUUCCUAUUCAAGGGAAAACCAACGCAGUGCUCAAGAGGUAGCAAGAAGGAUUUCUGGCGCCGUUGCCGGGGAGUCUACGCACAAGUCAAGACAUACCAAGUACCCAUCACAAACUCUUAUCCCUCACAUUACAUUAUUUGCCAUUUGCCUCUCGUUUUCCUCUCCCCCACUUCACCAUUGCCGUUUUAUUCGCCCUCUCUUUCCGUUCGCCUCUUUUUCGCUUGCUUCUUGUUUGCUUGUGUGUUGGAUUGCUUGCUUGUCACGAUGGCUCAAGACAAUACUAAAUUGUGUGACUUUGCCAAUACCAACAACAAUGUUUUUCUUAGCACUCCCAUUGCUCCUCUUACCGAUGCUGAAUCUUGUGAAAUUAAUGCUGCUUAGCUGAAUCUUGUCAUGAAAGAUCAAUUUGCCGGCCUUCCUAGUGAAGAUGCCGCUACCCAUCUGAAUAGCUUUGUUGAUUUGUGUGAUAUGCAAAAGAAGAAAGAUGUGGGCAAUGAUAUUGUUAAAUUGAAGCUAUUUCCUUUUUCGCUUAGAGAUCGUGCUAAAACUUGGUUUUCGUCUUUGCCUAAAAAUAGUAUUGAUUUUAGGAAUAAGUGCAAUGAUGCUUUUAUCUCUAAGUAUUUUCCUCCCGCUAAGAUCAUCUCUCUUAGAAACGAUAUUAUGAACUUUAAGCAACUUGAUCAUGAACAUGUUGCACAAGCUUGGGAGAGAAUGAAAUUAAUGAUACGUAAUUGCCCUACACAAGGCUUGAAUUUAUGGAUGAUUAUACAAAAAAUUUAUGCCGGAUUGAACUUUGCUUCUAGAAAUCUUUUAGAUUCGGCCGCGGGAGGCACUUUUAUGGAAAUCACUUUAGGAAAAGCUACUAAACUCCUAGAUAAUAUUAUGGUUAAUUAUUCUCAAUGGCACACUGAAAGAUCUACUAGUAAAAAGGUGCAUGCAAUUGAAGAGAUUAAUGUUUUGAGUGGAAAGAUGGAUGAACUUAUGAAAUUGUUUGCUAAUAAGAGUGUUUCUUCUGAUCCCAAUGAUAUGCCUUUGUCUACUUUGCUUGAGAAUAAUAAUGAAUCUAUGGAUGUGAAUUUUGUUGGUAGGAACAAUUUUGGUAACAACGCUUAUAGAGGAAACUUUAAUCCUAGGCCGUAUCCUAGUAAUUCCUCUAAUAAUUAUGGUAAUUCCUACAACAACUCUUAUGGAAAUUUUAAUAAGAUGCCCUCUGAUUUCGAGACUAGUGUUAAAGAAUUUAUGAUUUCCCAAAAGAAUUUCAAUGCUUUGCUUGAAGAAAAAUUGCCUAAGAUUGAUGAAUUGGCUAGGAAUGUGGAUAGAAUUUCUCUUGAUGUUGAUUCUUUGAAACUUAUAUCUAUUCCACCUAAUCAUGAUAUCAAUGAGUCUCUCAAAGCCAUGAGAAUUUCCAUUGAUGAGUGCAAAGAAAGAACCGCUAGGAUGCAUGCUAAAAAAGAUUGUUAUGUAAAAGCGUGUUCUUCUAGUUUUCAUGAUAAUAAGGAUGAAGAUCUAAAAGUGAUUGAUGUGUCCCCUAUUAAAUCUUUGUUUUGCAAUAUGAAUCUUGAUAAUGAUGGGACUGGAGAUGAGUCAACUUUAGUUAAAAGGCGUCCCAAUGAUUCGGAGUUUUUACAUCUGGAUGCAAAAUUUGGUAAAAGUGGGAUGGAAGAGGUCAAAACUUUAGAUAGCAAUGAACCCACUAUUUUUUAUUUCAAGGAAUUUAAUUAAAUAAUUGUUCUUUUAUAGGUUGUAUUUCCUUGUUGCAAUCCAUGCUAAAUUCUCCGCGUGCUUAUAGUCAAAAUAAAGCUUUUACUAAACAUAUCGUUGAUGCUUUAAUGCAAUCUUAUGAAGAAAAGCUUGAAUUGGAAUUUUCUAUCCCUAGAAAACUUUAUGAUGAGUGGGAACCUACUAUUAAAAUUAAAAUUAAGGUUCAUGAAUGCUAUGCUUUGUGUGAUUUGGGUGCUAGUGUUUCCACAAUUCCAUAGAAUUUGUGUGAUUUGCUAGGUUCCCGUGAAUUUGAUGAUUGUUCUUUAAACUUGCACCUUGCGGAUUCCACCAUUAAAAAACCUAUGGGAAGAAUUAAUGAUGUUCUUAUUGUUGCAAAUAGGAAUUAUGUGCCCGUAGAAUUCAUUGUUCUUGAUAUAGAUUGCAAUCCUUCAUGUCCUAUUAUUCUUGGUAGACCUUUCCUUAGAACGAUUGGUGCAAUUAUUGAUAUGAAGGAAGGAAAUAUUAGAUUCCAAUUUCCGUUAAGGAAAGGCAUGGAACACUUUCCUAGAAAGAAAAUCAAAUUACCUUAUGAAUCUAUCAUGAGAGCUACUUAUGGAUUGCCUACCAAAGAUGGCAACACCUAGGUCUAUCCUUGCCUUUAUGCCUAGCUAGGGGCGUUAAACAAUAGCGCUUGUUGGGAGGCAACCCAAUUUUAUUUUAGUUUUUUUCUUUUUGGUUCUGUUUAGGAAUAAAUAAUCCAUCUAGCUUAUUCUUAGACGUGGUUUUGUGUUUUAAUUAGUGUUUGUGCCAAGUAGAACCUUUGGGAAGACUUGGGGAAAGUCUUUGCGAUCUUGCUGUAAAAAACAGAAACUUUAGCGCUCACGAGAUUAGCUUCAACUAUUUACUGGAGAGUGAUAUUUAGUUGAUUAUUUUUUCAGAUGAUUAAUAGAUAAAUUACUCACGUCCAGAAAUUUAUUUUAGAAUUUUUCGAGUUGCAGAAGUUUGCGUUAGUUACAGAUUACUACAGACUGUUCUGUUUUUGACAAAUUCUAUUUUUCGUGUGUUGUUUGCUUAUUUUGAUGAAUCUAUGGCUAGUAAUGGAGUUUAUGAACCAUAGAAAAGUUUGAAUACAGUAGGUUUAACACCAAUAUAAAUAAAGAACGAGUUCAUUACAGUACCUUGAAGUGGUGUUUUGUUUUCUUUCGCUAACGGAGCUCACGAGAUUUUCUGUUAAGUUUUGUGUUGUGAAGUUUUCAAGUUUUGGGUAAAGAUUUGAUGGAUUAUGGAACAAGGAGUGGCAAGAGCCUGAGCUUGGGGAUUCCCAAGGCACCCCAAGGUAAAAUCUAAGGACAACCCAAAAAGCCUAAGCUUGGGGAUGCCCCGGAAGGCAUCCCCUCUUUUGUCUUCGUCCAUCGGUAACUUUACUUGGAGCUAUAUUUUUAUUCACCACAUGAUAUGUGUUUUGCUUGGAGCGUCUUGUAUGAUUUGAGUCUUUUCUUUUUAGUUCACCACAAUCAUCCUUUAUGUACACACCUUUUGAGAGAGACACACAUUAUUCGGAAUUUAUUAGAAUACUCUAUGUGCUUCACUUAUAUCUUUUGAGCUAAACAAUUUUGCUCUAGGGCUUCACUUAUAUCUUUUAGAGCACGGUGGUGGUUAUAUUUUAUAGAAAUUAUUGAUCUCUCGUGCUUCACUUAUAUUAUUUUGAGAGUCCUUUAGAACAGCAUGGUAGUUUACAAAGUGCAUUGAAUAGUAAGAGAAGUUUGAUACUUGAUAGUUGUUUUGAGAUAUAAAGGUGGUAAUAUUAGAGGUGGUAAUAUUAGAGGUGGUAAUAUUAGAGGUGUGCUAGUUGAGUAAUUGUGAAAUUGAGAAAUACUUGUGUUGAAGUUUGCAAGUCCCGUAGCAUGCACGUAUGGUAAACGUUGUGUGACAAAUUUGAAGCAUGAGGUGUUCUUUGAUUGCUUUCCUUAUGAGUGGCGGUCGGGGACGAGCGAUGGUCUUUUCCUACCAAUCUAUCCCCCUAGGAGCAUGCGCGUAGUGCUUGUUUUGAUGACUUGUAGAUUUUUGCAAUAAGUAUGUGAGUUCUUUUUGACUAAUGUUGAGUCCAUGGAUUAUACGCACUCUCACCCUUCCAUCAUUGCUAGCCUCUUCGGUACCGCGCAUUGCCCUUUCUCACCUUGAGAGUUGGUGCAAACUUCGCCGGUGCAUCCAAACCCCGUGAUAUGAUACGCUCUAUCACACAUAAACCUCCUUAUAUCUUCCUCAAAACAGCCACCAUACCUACCUAUUAUGGCAUUUCCAUAGCCAUUCUGAGAUAUAUUGUCAUGCAACUUUCCACCGUUCCGUUUAUUAUGACACGCAUCAUCAUUGUCAUAUUGCUUUGCAUGAUCAUGUAGUUGACAUCGUAUUUGUGGCAAAGCCACCUUUAUAAUUCUUUCAUACAUGUUACUCUUGAUUCAUUGAAUAUCCCGGUACACCGCCGGAGGCAUUCACAUAGAGUCAUAUUUUGUUCUUAGUAUUGAGUUGUAAUCUUUGAGUUGUAAGUAAAUAAAAGUGUGAUGAUCAUCAUUAUUAGAGCAUUGUCCCAAGUGAGGAAAGGAUGAUGGAGACUAUGAUUCCCCCACAAGUCGGGAUGAGACCCCGGACGAAAAAAAAGAGGCCAAAAAAAAGAGAAGAAGGCCCAAAUAAAAAAAGAGAGAAAAAGAGAGCAGGGACAAUGUUACUAUCCUUUUACCACACUCGUGCUUCAAAAUAGCACCAUGAUCUUCAUGAUAGAGAGUCUCCUAUUUUGUCACUUUCAUAUACUAGUGGGAAUUUUACAUUAUAGAACUUGGCUUGUAUAUUCCAACAAUGGGCUUCCUCAAAUGCCCUAGGUCUUCGUGAGCAAGCAAAUUGGAUGCACACCCACUUAGUUUAUUUUGUUGAGCUUUCAUAUACUCAUAGCUCUAGUGCAUCCGUUGCAUGGCAAUCCCUACUCCUUGCAUUGACAUCAAUCGAUGGGCAUCUCCAUAGCCCGUUGAUUAGCCGCGUCAAUGUGAGACUUUCUCCUUUUUUGUCUUCUCACACAACCUCAAUCAUUAUAUUCUAUUCCACCCAUAAUGGUAUGUCCAUGGCUCGCGCUCAUAUGUUGCGUAAAAGUUGAAAGAGUUUGAAAAGGCUAAGUAUGAAACAAUUGCUUGGCUUGUCAUCGGGGUUGUGCAUGAUGAGAGCAUUUUGUGUGACGAAAAUGAAGCAUAGCCAAACUAUAUGAUUUUGUAGGGAUAAGCUUUCUUUGGCUGUGUUAUUUUGAUAAGACAUAAUUGCUUGGUUAGCAUGCUUAAAGUAUUAUUAUUUUUAUGUCAACAUUAAACUUUUAUCUUGAAUCUUUCGGAUUUGAACAUUCAUGCCACAAUAAAGAAAAUUACAUUGAGAAAUAUGCUAGGUAGCAUUCCACAUCAAAAAUUCUGUUUUUAUCAUUUACCUACUCGAGGACGAGCAGGAAUUAAGCUUGGGGAUGCUUGAUACGUCUCCAACGUAUCUAUAAUUUUUUAUUGUUCCAUGCUAUUAUAUAUUCUGUUUUGGAUGUUUAAUGGGCUUAUUUAUACACUUUUAUAUUAUUUUUGGGACUAACCUAUUAACCCAAGGCCCAGUGCAAAUUGUUGUUUUUUUUGCCUAUUUCAGUGUUUCGCAGAAAAGGAAUAUCAAACGGAGUCCAAAUGGAAUGAAACCUUCGGGAGAGUUAUUUUUGGAACAAACGUGAUCCGAAGGACUUGGAGUGGAUGUCAAGAAAUCACCGAGGAGGCCACGAGGCAGGGGGGCGCGCCUACCCCCCUGAGCGCGCCCUCCACCCUCGUGGGCCCCUCGUGGCUCCACCGACCUACUUCUUCCUCCUAUAUAUACCUACGUACCCCGAAACCAUCGAGGAGCACCCCGAAAACCUAAUUCCACCGCCACAACCUUCUGUACCCGUGAGAUCCCAUCUUGGGGCCUUUUCCGGCGCUCUGCCGGAGGGGGCAUCGAUCACGGAGGGCUUCUACAUCAACACCAUAGCCUCUCCGAUGAUGUGUGAGUAGUUUACCACAGACCUUCGGCUCCAUAGUUAUUAGCUAGAUGGCUUCUUCUCUCUCUUUGGAUCUCAAUACAAAGUUCUCCUCGAUCUUCUUGGAGAUCUAUUUGAUGUAACUCUUUUUGCGGUGGGUUUGUCGAGAUCCGAUGAAUUGUGGGUUUAUGAUCAAGAUUAUCUAUGAACAAUAUUUGAAUCUUCUCUGAAUUCUUUUAUGUAUGAUUGGUUAUCUUUGCAAGUCUCUUCGAAUUAUCAGUUUGGUUUGGCCUACUAGAUUGAUCUUUCUUGCAAUGGGAGAAGUGCUUAGCUUUGGGUUAAAUCAUGCGGUGCUCGAUCCCAGUGGCAGUAGGGGAAACGACACGUAUUGUAUUGUUGCCAUCGAGGAUAAAAAGAUGGGGGUUAUAUCAUAUUGCUUGAGUUUAUCCCUCUACAUCAUGUCAUCUUAUCUAAUGCGUUACUCUGUUCUUAUGAACUUAAUACUCUAGAUGCAUGCUGGAUAGCGGUCGAUGUGUGGAGUAAUAGUAGUAGAUGCAGGCAGGAGUCGGUCUACUUGUCACGGGCGUGAUGCCUAUAUACAUGAUCAUGCCUAGAUAUUCUCAUAAUUAUGCACUUUUCUAUCAAUUACUCGACAGUAAUUUGUUCACCCACCGUAAUACUUAUGUUAUCUUGAGAGAAUCCACUAGUGAAACCUAUGGCCCCCGGGUCUAUCUUCCAUCAUAUUAAUCUCCCGUAGACAAGCUAUUUCUGUCGACGUUUAUUUUUCUUUCUUUACUUUUAGUCUUUAUAAUAAAAAUACCAAAAAUAUUAUCUUAUCAUCUCUAUCAGAUCUCACUUUUGCAAGUGUCCAUGAAGGGAUUGACAACCCCUUUAUCGCGUUGGUUGCAAGGUUCUUAUUUGUUUGUGUAGGUACGAGGGACUUGCGUGUGGCCUCCUACUGGAUUGAUACCUUGGUUCUCAAAAACUGAGGGAAAUACUUACGCUACUUUGCUGCAUCACCCUUUCCUCUUCAAGGGAAAACCAACGCAGUGCUCAAGAGGUAGCAGCUAGCUAUGCCGGUUAAGCAUGCUCGGUUUACCCGUUGCAUGUGCUGCUCCUGCCUUUCCUUAACAAAUUCUAGUGAAUUGUGCUAUCUACUUUUACCAUGCAAUAUGUUGCUCUAGUGUAUAUGUUCUAUAUGUCGUGCAAUGUGGUGCUCACUUAUUAAUUGUUUGGUUCAUUAGUUGUCGUCUUCAGUUAACUGUUUGGUUCAAUUCUGCAAAUGUGAUGUUCAAUUCUUCAGGCUGCAAUUUAGUAUUGUCUUCCAUGUGAGAAAUAAAUUGAAUUUAUCUUUACAAAAUACAUGAGAAACAAAUACAAUUGCUAUAUUUCCAAGUUGCCAAGCAUGCUUGGUUUGGUUAACUGUCUGAUCUUCUAGUAUGUUAUACAUUGUGCAAUGUGGUGCUCGGUUAAUUUUUUUUCAUUUGUUGUGGUGUUUAGUUAACUGUUUGGUUCAAUUCUGCAAUGCGAUGUUCAAUUGUUGUGGGUGCAUUCUGUUAUUGUAUGCCAUGUGAGAAAUAAAUCAAAUUUGGCUGUACUAAAUACAUGAGAAACAAAUACAAUUGCUAUAUUUCCAAGUUGUUAAGCAUGCUUGGUUUGGUCAACUGUCUGAUCUUCUAUGAGGAGUAUGUUAUAUUGUGCAAUGUAGUGCUCAGUUAAUGUUUGGUUCAUUUGUUGUGGUGUUUAGUUAACUACUUGGUUCAAUUCUGCAAUGCGAUGUCCAAUUGUCGUGGGUAGAAUUUUGCGUUGUUGUGCAUGUGAGGAAUAAAUCGAAUUUGGCUGCACUUAAUCUCUACUCUUAUAAAAAAACCGAGUUGGUGAUGAUGGUGUGCCUGCCAUCUUGUAAUAUAGACCUUCCGAUCUAUAUCUGACGGAUAGAAAGCAAACUAUGACAAUUUUACAAAAGAUACCCGCACCUCUCUCCACAUUUACAGAUAAGGCCUUGCCUCGUUCAUCCUUAUCUCCCACAACCUCAUUGCUGGGCAAUUAAAAAAGGAAGUCUCUAGAACAAUCUAGCAUGGUGGCCGCUGCCGCCUGCCGGCACCGUCCAUCCCCAUGCCUCCGCCCAGUCCGACCACCAGUCACCACCACGCUCUACUCCUCCUCACCUUAUCUCUCAUCUUUCAUUUUUUCGAUGAAAUUCUCGAGAUACCAUUUUUCCGAUAAAAUUCUCGAGAUAUCAUUAGUUUUUACACAUGGGAUUACUCCUGCAUGAGUCAAUCACAACAGGUGUUUUGUAAAAAAUGCAUCUUGAUUUUUCGUGCAAUGCACGGGCAUCUUGCUAGUACAUGAGAAACAUAUACAACUACUAUAUUUCCUAGUUCUUAAUCAUGCUUGGUUUGGAUAAAUGGGUUUUCCAUGUGGCUUGAAUUAAUCUGAUGAAUCUGCAAUGUGCUUAUUUUUCAUCAACAUAUUUUACUGAUAGCAUGUGAACCCUCACUUAAAUUGAUGACUAACUACCUUAUAUGUUGCAGGGAAACAAUGGGAAGCACUGAGGUUUACAAUCGAGGUUUGCACAUGCAUGGUCCUUUGUCUAAUAGCACAUUAUUGUGCAAUUGCAAGAACCAUUCUAAUAUUUAGGUUUUUAACAAUUUGGUCUUGCACAUGUAGGUCCUGCUGUCAGAGGUUUUGACCCACUGUUCGACCCUUUUUGCAUAUGGGGAAAUGAGUUGUGCAUGAAUAUCAGUCAAGUCAAGAAACUCAGAAAGGUUUUUAGGACAAAGAAAUUAGCGACAAAAAACAACAAGAUCUUUGUGUGCACAAUGAAGAAGACGUCAGUUCACUACAAGAUGGUACUAACUAUUAUACCUUACCUUUUUUAUUCCUUUGCCCCAUUUCCAAUAGAGAAGAUAUUUAUGCACAUCCUUAUUUUCAGGCCUUUCCAAAGCAGUUCACUGAUGAUUACCUCUCAAACCACCUGUAUGGUCAGGAGGCGAGGAAGGUUUUCAUACAACACCCACAAUUCAAUAUUGAAGUGUUCCUGAAGAGGAUGAAGGAUGGAUGGUAAAUCAUCCACAUGCACUGGCCUAAAGUUGCAAAGACCUUAAACAUCAAUGAAGGCUCAAUAUUCGGCUUUCGCUUCAGCAGUUUUCCAGAUAAGAUGCAUCUAUCUAUGUACCGUCUAUGAUGCUAAUUUUGAAAGGUUAUGGAUGUUGCAUGUGAAACUUGGUGCUGGUGCAGUUGUGUAAUGGGGUAGCUGAGUGCUGAAGCUAAAGGAUGUUGUACUCUGAUGUAUUUCAAUUAUGAAAUCCUGCUUCCUUCAUAUGGAAAUCAAAUAUAUUGUGUGCUUAAUAUGAAAUGUCAAUUACAUUAAUAAAUGGAUUAUUAAUAAUAGGGCAAUUAGCGUGCUAAAGGCCAAUUAGCCUGCUAAUUGGGUUUUUCUAUUGCAAACUAUUAUUGAGAAAACACCGUGGGCGAUGACCUCAGGCAACGCACACAGUUUCUAGGAAUAAACCGUGUUGGAUCAAUGAACAAUCACACAUGACAUCCUCAUGAAAUUUUUUUGCAUUAGGCCACCUUGCGCAAACAUUUACCACAUAAAAAGUGUGUGUGAUGGACAGCUUUUGCCACACAGUUUCUUCUACGCACCAUGUGUGAUGCAUUCCAUAACGCAAACGAUAAAAUUGUUAAUAUCGUGUGCAAUGGCAACGCCAUCACAAAUGAUUUAAUGGGGAAAAUUGUGUGUGAUGUACCUGCGAAUGGAAACGUUUUCCUUGGAGUGACUGUGUGGGAUGUAUAUACGAACGGAAACAUACUUCUUUGACUAACUGUGUGGGAUGUACAUCCUAACGGAAACGUGUUCCUUGGAUUGACUGUGUGGAAUGUACAUAUGAAUGGAAACGUUUGACGGGGACUGACUGUGUGGAAUGUACUUACGACCGAAAAUGAUUUGGCAUGUAUAAUUGUAUUUUUUUAGCACAACUGCAAGUAUAACCGUAUUUGAUCGCUCGCCGGUCACACACGGCCUCAUUUUGCCGAGCGUGUGUGCCAGGAGGGCAUAUCCCUAUCGGUUUCUGGGUCGUGUGGGAAGGACCCCCCUAUCGCAGUCACUCACUUGGCGACGGUUCGAAACGCCGUCACGGAAAGGGGUUAAAAACCGUUUGCAUAGCACCUCGUUGUACUAGUGUUGAUAGCGGCCACACAUGCAAACACUCAACAUAAUAUCAGGUCUGGAUGCACAUAGGUAAAGAAGAGAACCAAUCAUCGAAUGAUAAGCCUUCUGAUCGUAAUCUUUACCGUACGCAUAUGCAUCCAUCUUACAAUUCGUGGGCAUUGGAGUUUUGUAGCCCUUCAUUUUGUAAUCUUGCAUUUUGAACGUGUUUCAGACACUCUCUUAGAUAUUUCUCCCGAGAUAUAGAAAUUCCAUUUGCCUGUUGACGUAUUUGCAGGCCGAGAAAGAACUUAAGUUCACCCAUCAUUGACAUUUGAUACUUUUCGGACAUCAUUUUUCCGAACUCUAGGCUGCAAGCAUUGUUAGUACAACCGAAGAUAAUAUCAUCCACAUAAAUUUGACAUAUGAAUAGGUCAUUAUCAACAGCACGAGUGAAAAGUGUGGGAUCGGUGGAUCCUGGCUUGAACCCUUUUUCGAGCAGAAACUUCUUCAAGAUGUCAUACCAUGCUCUAGGGGCUUGCUUCAGCCCAUAAAGAGCCUUUUUCAACCUGAAAACUUUGUUAGGAAACUCAGGGUGUUCAAAGCCAGGUGGUUGUCUAACAUAAACUUCCUCAUCAAUUUCACCAUUGAGGAAAGCACUUUUCACAUCCAUUUGAUAAAGCAAGAUAUCAUUGUAAUUUGCAUAAGCAAGAAGAAUAUGAAUUGCCUCAAGGCAUGCAACAGGAGCAUAAGUUUCACCAAAAUCAAUACCUUCUACCUGUGUAUACCUUGAGCGACAAGAUGUGCUUUGUUUCUCACAACAAUGCCAUUUUCAUCUUGCUUGUUCCGGAAUAUCCAUUUGGUGCCGAUGAUAUUAUGCUUCUUAGGAUUCGGCUUUUCGACCAAUUCCCAAACAUCAUUCAAUUCGAAUUGCACCAACUCCUCUUGCAUAGCAUUCAUCCAAUCUGGAUCAUUCAUGGCUUCCUCAUACUUGGUAGGUUCUGCCAAUGAAACAAAGGAGAAACUGCCACAGUAGUUAGCCAAAUGAGUGCGUGAACAAGUUGUGGGUCAAUGCUACCUCUUGAGCACUGCGUUGGUUUUCCCUUGAAGAGGAAAGGGUGAUGCAGUAAAGUAGCGUAAGUAUUUCCCUCAGUUUUUGAGAACCAAGGUAUCAAUCCAGUAGGAUAUCACGCUCGAGUCCCAGGCACCUACACAAACAAAUAAGAACCUCGCAACCAACGCGAUAAAGGGGUUGUCAAUCCCUUCACGGUCACUUACGAGAGUUAGAUCUGAUAGAUAUGAUAAGAUAAUAUUUUUGGUAUUUUUAUGAUAAAGAUGCAAAGUAAAAUAAACGGCAAUAAAAAUAGCUAAGUGUUGGAAGAUUAAUAUGAUGGAAAAUAGACCAGGGGGCCAUAGGUUUCACUAGUGGCUUCUCUCAAGAGCAUAAGUAUUACGGUGGGUAAACGAAUUACUGUCGAGCAAUUGAUAGAAUUGAGCAUAGUUAUGAGAAUAUCUAGGUAUGAUCAUGUAUAUAGGCAUCACGUCCACGACAAGUAGAUCGAAACGAUUCUGCAUCUACUACUAUUACUCCACACAUCGACCGCUAUCCAGCAUGCAUCUAGAUAAGUUCAUAAGAACAGAGUAAUGCUUUAAGUAAGAUGACAUGAUGUAGAGGGAUAAACUCAUGCAAUAUGAUAUAAACCCCGUCUUUUUAUCCUCGACGGCAACAAUACAAUACGUGCCUUGCUGCCCCUGCUGUCACUAGGAAAGGACACCGCAAGAUUGAACCCAAAGCUAAGCACUUCUCCCAUUGCAAGAAAGAUCAAUCUAGUAGGCCAAACCAAACUGAUAAUUCGAAGAGACUUGCAAAGAUAACCAAUCAUACAUAAAAGAAUUCAGAGGAGAUUCAAAUAUUGUUCAUAGAUAAUCUUGAUUAUAAACCCACAAUUCAUCGGAUCUCGACAAACACACCACAAAAGAAGAUUACAUCGAAUAGAUCUCCAAGAGAAUCGAGGAGAACUUUGUAUUGAGAUCCAAAGAGAGAGAAGAAGCCAUCUAGCUAAUAACUAUGGACCCGAAGGUCUGAGGUAAACUACUCACACAUCAUCGGAGAGGCUAUGGUGUUGAUGUAGAAGCCCUCCGUGAUCAAUGCCCCCUCCGACGGAGCACCGGAAAAGGCCCCAAGAUGGGAUCUCACGGGUACAGAAGGUUGCGGCGGUGGAAAUAGGGUUUUUGGCUCCGUUCCUGAUGGUUUGGGGGUACGUAGGUAUAUAUAGGAGGAAGAAGUAGGUCGGUGGAGCUACGAGGGGCCCACGAGGGUGGAGGGCACGCCCAGGGGGGUAGGCGCACCCCCUGCCUCGUGGCCUCCUCGUUCAUUUCUUGACGUCCACUCCAAGUCCUCUGGAUCACGUUUGUUCCAAAAAUCACGUUCCCGAAGGUUUCAUUCCGUUUGGACUCCGUUUGAUAUUCCUUUUCUGCGAAACACUGAAAUAGGCAAAAAACAACAAUUUGAGAUGGGCCUCCGUUUAAUAGGUUAGUCCCAAAAAUAAUAUAAAAGUGUAUAAUAAAGCAAAUUAAACAUCCAAAACAGAAUAUAAUAUAGCAUGGAACAAUAAAAAAUUAUAGAUACGUUGGAGAUGUAUCAAGCAUCCCCAAGCUUAAUUCCUGCUCGUCUUCGAGUAGGUAAAUGAUAAAAACAGAAUUUUUGAUGCGGAAUGCUACUUAGCAUAAUUUUCAAUGUAAUUCUCUUAUUUGUGGUAUGAAUAUUCAGAUCCGAAAGAUUCAAGAUAAAAGUUUAAUAUUGACAUAAAAAUAAUAAUACUUCAAGCAUACUAACUAAGCAAUUAUGUAUUCUCAAAAUAACAUGGCCAAAGAAAGUUAUCCCUACAAAAUCAUAUAGUCUGGCUAUGCUCUAUCUUCAUCACACAAAGUAUUUAAUCAUGCACAACCCCGAUGUCAAGCCAAGAAAUUGUUUCAUACUUUUGGUGUUCUCAUUUUUCCAUCUUCACGCAAUACAUGAGCGUGAGCCAUGGACAUAGCACUAUAUGUGGAAUAGAAUGGUGGUUGUGGAGAAGACAAAAAAGGUGAAGAUAGUCUCACAUCAACUAGGCGUAUCAACGGGCUAUGGAGAUGCCCAUCAAUAGAUAUCAAUGUGAGUGUGUAGGGAUUGACAUGCAACGGAUGCACUAGAGCUAUAAGUAUAUGAAAGCUCAACAAAAGAAACUAAGUGGGUGUGCAUCCAACUCGCUUGCUCACGAAGACCUAGGGCAUUUUGAGGAAGCCCAUCAUUGGAAUAUACAAGCCAAGUUCUAUAAUGAAAAAUUCCCACUAGUAUAUGAAAGUGAUAUCAUAGGAGACUCUCUAACAUGAAGAUCAUGGUGCUACUUUGAAGCACAAGUGUGGUAAAAGGAUAGUAGCAUUGUCCCUUCUCUCUUUUUCUCUCAUUUUUUUCUUUGGACCUUUUAUCUUUUUUUAUGGCCUCUUUUUUCGUCCGGAGUCUCAUCUCGACUUGUGGGGGAAUCAUAGUCUCCAUCAUCCUUUCCUCACUUGGGAAAAUGCUCUAAUAAUGAUGAUCAUCACACUUUUAUUUACUUACAACUCAAGAAUUACAACUCAAUACUUAGAACAAAAUAUGACUCUAUGUGAAUGCCUCCGGCGGUGUACCGGGAUAUGCAAUGAAUCAAGAGUGACAUGUACGAAAGAAUUAUGAAUGGUGGCUUUGCCACAAAUACGAUGUCAACUACAUGAUCAUGCAAAGAAAUUAUGACAAUGAUGGAGCGUGUCAUAGUAAAUGGAACGGUGGUAAGUUGCAUGGCAAUAUAUCUCAGAAUGGCUUGGAAAUGCCAUGAUAGGUAGGUAUGGUGGCUGUUUUGAGGAAGGUAUAUGGUGGGUGUAUGAUACCGGCGAAAAGUGCGCGGUAUUAGAGAGGCUAGCAAUGGUGGAAGGAUGAGAGUGCGUAUAAUCCAUGGACUCAACAUUAGUCAUAAAGAACUCAUAUACUUUUGCAAAAAUCUACAAGUUAUCAAAGCAAAUUAUUACGCGCAUGCUCCUAGGGGGAUAGAUUGGUAGGAAAAGACCAUCGCUCGUCCCCGACCGCCACUCAUAAGGAAGACAAUCAAUAAAUAAAUCAUGCUCCGACUUCAUCACAUAACGGUUCACCAUACGUGCAUGCUACGGGAAUCACAAACUUUAACACAAGUAUUUCUCAAAUUCAUAACCACUCAACUAGCAUGACUCUAAUAUCACCAUCUUCAUAUCUCAAAACAAUAAUCAAGCAUCAAACUUCUCAUAGUAUUCAACACACUCAUAAUUUUUUUUUACUAAUCUUGGAUGCCUAUCAUAAUUAAAGAAAAUUACCAUGCUGUUUUGUAGGACUCUCAAAAUAAUAUAAGUGAAGCAUGAGAGAACAAUAGUUUCUAUAAAACAAAUCCACCACCGUGCUCUAAAAGAUAUAAGUGAAGCACUAGAGCAAAAACUAUAUAGCUCAAAAGAUAUAAGUGAAGCACAUAGAGUAUUCUAAUAAAUUCCGAAUCAUGUGUGUAUCUCUCAAAAGGUGUGUACAGCAAGGAUGAUUGUGGUAAACUAAAAAGCAAAGACUCAAAUCAUACAAGACGCUCCAAGCAAAACACAUAUCAUGUGGUGAAUAAAAAUAUAGCUCCAAGUAAAGUUACCGAUGGACGAAGACGAAAGAGGGGAUGCCUUCCGGGGCAUCCCCAAGCUUUGGCUUUUUGGUGUCCUUAGAUUACCUUGGGGUGCCAUGGGAAUCCCCAAGAUUAGGCUCUUGCCACUCCUUGUUCCAUAAUCCAUCAAAUCUUUACCCAAAACUUGAAAACUUCACAACACAAAACUUAACAGAAAAUCUCGUGAGUUCCGUUAGCGACAGAAAACAAAACACCACUUCAAGGUACUGUAAUGAACUCAUUCUUUAUUUAUAUUGGUAUUAAACCUACUGUAUUCCAACUUCUCUAUGGUUUAUAAACUCUUUUACUAGCCAUAGAUUCAUCAAAAUAAGCAAACAACACGCGAAAAACAGAAUCUAUCAAAAACAGAACAGUCUGUAGUAAUCUGUAACUAACGCAAACUUAUGGAACUCAAAAAAUUCUACCAAAAUAGGAAGAGCUAGAAAAUUUGUUUAUUGAUCAACUGCAAUUGGUAUCAUUAUUUUAUCACGUUCUGGUGAUUUUUAAGAAUUGUUUUCGUGAACAGAAAGUUUCUGGAAUUUUCAGCAAGAUCAAAUAAGUAUCAUCCAAGAAGAUCCUAUAGGUUUAACUUGGCACAAACACUAAUUAAAACAUAAAAACAAAUCUAACAAGAGGCUAGAUAAAAUAUUUAUUCCUAAACAGAAGCAAAAAGCAAAAAACUAAAAUAAAAUUGGGUUGCCUCCCAACAAGCGCUAUCGUUUAACGCCCCUAGCUAGGCAUUGAUAUUUCAAUGAUGCUCACAUGAAAGACAAGAAUUGAAGCACAAAGAGAGCAUCACAAAAUAUGUGACAAACACAUCUAAGUCUAACAUACUUCCUAUGCAUAGGUAUCUUAUAGGCAAAUAAAUUAUCAAGGCAAGCAAAAACUAGCAUAUGCAAGGAAGCGGAAAGAAACAGUAGCAAUCUCAACAUGGCGAGAGGUAAUUUAAUAAGAUAAAAAUUUCUACCACCAUAUUUUCCUCUCUCAUAAUAAUUACAUGUAGGAUCAUAGGCAAAUUCAACAAAAUAGAUAUCACAUAACAUAUUCUCAACACGAUCCACAUGCAUGCGAAGUUGACACUCUUCCAAAAUAGUGGGAUUAUCAUUUACUAAAGUCAUGACCUCUCCAAAACCACUUUUAUCAAAAAUGCCAUAAGAUAGAACAUUCUCCAAAUAUGUGGGAUCUAAAGUUGACACUCUUCCAAACCCACCUUCAAUAUUAUUGCAAACACUAUUAUCAAUCUCAUAUUCAUCAUGGGGCUUAAAUAAAUUUUCAAGUUCAUAAGAAGAAUCACCUCAAUCAUGAUCAUUGCAACAAGUAGUAGACAUAGCAAAACUAGCAUCCCCAAGCUUAGGGUUUUGCAUAUUAUUAGCACAAUUGACAUCAAGAGAAUUUAUAGUAAAAUCAUUGCAAUCAUGCUUUUUAUUCAAAGAUCUAUCGUGAAUCACUUUAUAAAGUACUUCAUCACAAUUUUCAGAUUCACGAAUUUCAAGCAAAACCUCAUAAAGAUAAUCUAGUGCACUCAACUCACUAGCAAUAGGUUCAUCAUAAUUGGAUCUCUUAAAGAGAUUAGCAAGUGAAUGAGGAUUCAUAAACUUUUAGCAAGCUAAGAUGCAAGCAAAAAGAAGGUACAUGGUAACACAAGCAAACAAAAGGACGAACGGAAGAAGGGCGAAGAAAAGGCAAAGGUGAAGUGGGGGAGAGGAAAACGAGAGGCAAAUGGCAAAUAAUGUAAUGCGAGGGAUAAGAGUUUGUGGUGGGUACUUGGUAUGUCUUGACUUGUGCGUAGACUCCCCGGCAACGGCGCCAGAAAUGGCUCGUUGCUGGGAGUCAAAUCUUGACUUGACUUGGCGCGAAUCUCCCCGGCAACAGCGCCAGAAAUCCUUCUUGCUACCUCUUGAGCACUGCGUUGGUUUUCCCUUGAAGAGGAAAGGGUGAUGCAGUAAAGUAGCGUAAGUAUUUCCCUCAGUUUUUGAGAACCAAGGUAUCAAUCCAGUAGGAGAUCACGCUCGAGUCCCACGCACCUACACAAACAAAUAAGAACCUCGCAACCAACGUGAUAAAGGGGUUGUCAAUCCCUUCACGGUCACUUACGAGAGUGAGAUCUGAUAGAUAUGAUAAGAUAAUAUUUUUGGUAUUUUUAUGAUAAAGAUGCAAAGUAAAAUAAACGGCAAUAAAAAUAGCUAAGUGUUGGAAGAUUAAUAUGAUGGAAAAUAGACCCGGGGGCCAUUGGUUUCACUAGUGGCUUCUCUCAAGAGCAUAAGUAUUACGGUGGGUAAACGAAUUACUGUCGAGCAAUUGAUAGAAUUGAGCAUAGUUAUGAGAAUAUCUAGGUAUGAUCAUGUAUAUAGGCAUCACGUCCGCGACAAGUAGAUCGAAACGAUUCUGCAUCCACUACUAUUACUCCACACAUCGACCGCUAUCCAGCAUGCAUCUAGAGUAUUAAGUUCAUAAGAACAGAGUAAUGCUUUAAGUAAGAUGACAUGAUGUAGAGGGAUAAACUCAUGCAAUAUGAUAUAAACCCCAUCUUUUUAUCCUCGAUGGCAAUAAUACAAUACGUGCCUUGCUGCCCCUGCUGUCACUAGGAAAGGACACCACAAGAUUGAACCCAAAGCUAAGCACUUCUCCCAUUGCAAGAAAGAUCAGUCUAGUAGGCCAAACCAAACUGAUAAUUUGAAGAGACUUGCAAAGAUAACCAAUCAUACAUAAAAGAAUUCAGAGGAGAUUCAAAUAUUGUUCAUAGAUAAUCUUGAUUAUAAACCCACAAUUCAUCGGAUCUCGACAAACACACCACGAAAGAAGAUUACAUCGAAUAGAUCUCCAAGAGAAUCGAGGAGAACUUUGUAUUGAGAUCCAAAGAGAGAGAAGAAGCCAUCUAGCUCAUAACUAUGGACCGGAAGGUCUGAGGUAAACUACUCACACAUCAUCGGAGAGGCUAUGGUGUUGAUGUAGAAGCCCUCCGUGAUCAAUGCCCCCUCCGGCGGAGCACCGAAAAAGGCCCCAAGAUGGGAUCUCACGGAUACAGAAGGUUGCGGCGGUGGAAAUAGGGUUUUUGGCUCCGUCCCUGAUGGUUUGGGGGUACGUAGGUAUAUAUAGGAGGAAUAAGUAGGUCAGUGGAGCUACGAGGGGCCCACGAGGGUGGAGGGUACGCCCAGGGGGGUAGGCGCGCCCCCUGCCUCGUGGCCUCCUCGUUCGUUCCUUGACGUCCACUCCAAGUCCUCUGGAUCACGUUUGUUCCAAAAAUCACGUUCCCGAAGGUUUCAUUCCGUUUGGACUCCGUUUGAUAUUCCUUUUCUGCGAAACACUGAAAUAGGCAAAAAAAACAAUUUGGGCUGGGCCUCCGGUUAAUAGGUUAGUCCCAAAAAUAAUAUAAAAGUGUAUAAUAAAGCCCAUUAAGCAUCCAAAACAGAAUAUAAUAUAGCAUGGAACAAUCAAAAAUUAUAGAUACGUUGGAGACGUAUCAGUCAAUAACCUGGAUUAUCGAGUUCAUCGAGAAUUAAUGAAGGAUCAACUCGAUUAGCCACUCGAGGAUGAGGAUUUUCAUCUUGAUGAUCAUUAUCACUUUCAUCAGCAUCAGCAUUUGUAUCGCCAUUCCCUUCAGGAUUGCCAUUUUGCUCGGCAUUUGGAUUCGGAUUGCCAUUAGUAUUUGGAGUAGCAUUUUGCUUUGGCAGUGGCUUGGCGAGUUCUGCUUCGAGUCAUAGGAGCAUCAUCAUCGAAGAGUCGGGUGCAUUUUCUGCAACUGGCUUAACGCUCCCAAUAGCCAUUUGCCGAAUAGCAUCCGAGAUCGGUGGUUCCCACAUUUGGCAGGUGCUCCUUUUGGGAGCCAUUAGAUUCAUGAAACCGCACAUUUACCAUUUCCAUAACUUUCCCGUGAGAGUUAUAGACACGAUAAGUAUGCGAGUUCGAGCCAUAGCCAAGAAGAAAACCUUCAAGUGCCUUAGAUCCAAACUUGGAAGAAUGAUUCAUAUCACGAAUAUAACAAGGUACAAAAAAACACGUAAAUAAGAAAAAUUUGUUUGCUUGCUAGUGAUAAGCUCAUAUGAGGUUUUCUUAAGGAACUUGUGUAGAUAAACACGACUGAUAACAUGACAAGCAGUAUUAAUAACAUCAGCCCAGAAGUGAAUAGGAGUUUUAUACUCACUGAGCAUUGUUCUUGCCAUUUUGAUGAGAGUUCUAUUCUUUCGCUCAACAACUCCAUUCUGUUGGGGAGUGUAAGUGACAGAGAACUCAUGAGUAAUACCAUUUUCGUCGAAGAAAAUCAUCGAUAUGAGUAUUUUUGAACUCAGUCCCAUUGUCACUUCUGACAUGCUUAAUUCGCACAUCAUAUUCAUUCUGGGCUUUCUUGGUGAAGAUUUUGAAGAUAUCUUGGGUGCAGGUUUUGUCUUCGAGAAACAAUACCCAAGUGUAGCGAGAGAAAUCAUCAACAAUGACCAGGUCAUAAUGACUGCCACCGAAACUUGCAUAGUUUUGAGGACCGAAUAAAUCCAUAUGAAGAAUUUCCAGAGGUCUUGUUGUGGUCAUAACAGUCUUUGAUGAAUGAUGCUUCUUGGCCAAUUUACCAGCCUCACAUGCAGCAUAGAGACGAUCCUUGUCGAAUUGCACAUCAGGAAUGCCACGGAGAUGAUUUUUCUUCACUAGAGUCUGCAAAAUUCUCAUACCUUCAUGACCAAGUCUUCGGUGCCACAACCAGCAUUUGGUUGCUUUUGCAAGCAAACAAGUUUGGACUGAGGGACCCUUAGAGAAAUCCACAAUAUAUACAUCACCUUUUCUAAUUCCCUCGAAGACGAAGGAAUUGUUAGAGGCCAUGAAGACAAUGCAUUUGGAUAUGGAAAAUAGAACUAGCAUGCCUAGAUCAUAUAGCUUGCCAAAUGACAUAAGGUUGAAUCCAAGACUGAACAAGUAAAACAUCAUCAACGGACUUGUCUUUGGAUAUGGCAAUUUUACCUAGCCCAGUUACCUUUCCUUUGUUGUUGUCGCCAAAAGUGAUAUACUUCAGAGGUGAAGCAGUUAAGUUGGGGUCGACAAACAAUGACUUGUCUCUGGUCAUAUGACUAGUGCAUCCACUAUCCAUUAUCCAUUCUGUACACCCAGAGACAUAGUCCUGCAGAAGAAUUAGGCUUUCUUAACCAUCCACAUCUUUGCAGGUGGCUUCGAAACAAAUAAAUGAGCAGGAUAUGAUUUCUUUCGGUAACCAUAGUUGUUACUCGAUGAGGUGCGAGCAUAAUCAAAGGAAUAAGCAUUGAAAUUCUUUCAAGACGAAUGAGUAUAGUGAUUGAAUGAGGCAUGCAUGUACUCAUUCUGUCGAACUUUUUCAAGGAAGUAACGAGCAUUUUGAGCCUGCAUGGUUAGUAAUGUGGUAACAAGUAAUGCUUCAAUAGUUUUCUUAGGCACCCUAAGCUUUCUUUGGGGGGCAUUCCUGUUGUCCUGUCCAACAUAGCGACCAACAGCCUCACCAUAUUGGUUUUUGAACAACUUGUAGUUGUCCAGAGAAUCAUCAUCAGGAUAUUCAGGGAUGGGAGAGUUAUAUCCCGAAAGGAAAGCUGGAUCGAGCGUUUUGCUUGGCAGGCACCCAUACAGUGCGAGGAUAUUGAUCAGGUUCCCAGUAGGAGCCAUUUUCAUUCAGUUUCCUUUCGAAAACAAUGCCUUCUUUGCUGGGAUUUUGGUGAAGAAUGGAUUUCUUCAAAACAUCACAAAGGGUUUGAUGCCCUUUGAGAGAUUUGAACAUUCAUGUCUGAAGAAGAUCCUUCAACCUAGCAUUUUCAUCAGAAACAAAACCAUUUUCCUCGAGAGAGGGGUUAGCAUUCACAGAUGAUUCAACAUUUGAUUCAGCAUUGGAUCGUUCAAGACAUUUUAAGAAAGAUGGAACAAAUACUUCAGAUUUCUCUUGAAGUUGUUGGGUGGGAAGAGAAUUUUCUCUGAUCAAAUCCUCAUGAGCCUCUCUCAGCACCUAGAAGAAGAGUUGUAUAUGAUGCAACCAGAAGGUUUUGUCGAUCCAAAGGGGGCUAACAAAGUGUGCAAGCUCCAGCGAUCCAUUUAUGGACUGGUGCAAGCCUCUCGGAGAUGGAAUAAACAUUUUGAUAGUGUGAUCAAAGCAUAUGGUUUUAUACAGACUUUUGGAGAAGCCUGUAUUUACAAGAAAGUGAGUGGGAGCACUACAGCCUUUCUGAUAAGUAUAUGUGAAUGACAUAUUGUUGAUCGGAAAUGAUGUAGAAUUUUCUGGAAAGCAUAAAGGAGUGUUUGAAAGGAGUUUUUCAAAGAAAGACCUCGGUGAAGCUGCUUACAUAUUGGGCAUCAAGAUCUAUAGAGAUAGAUCAAGACGCUUGAUAAGAUUUUUCAAUGAGUACAUACCUUGACAAGAUUUUUGAAGUAGUUCAAAAUGGAACAGUCAAAGAAGGAGUUCUUGCCUGUAUUGCAAGGUGUAAAGUUGAGUAAGACUCAAAACACGACCAUGGCAGAAAAUAGAAAGAGAAUGAAAGUCAUUCCCUAUGCCUCAGCCACAGGUUCUAUAAAGUAUGCUAUGUUGUGUACCAAACCUAUUGUGUACCUUGCCAUGAGUUUGGCAAGGGGGUACGAUAAUGAUCCAGGAGUGGAUCACUUGACAGCGGUCAAAAUUAUCCUUAGAAGACUAAGGAGAUAUUUCUCGGUUAUGGAGGUGAUAAAGAGUUCGUCGUAAAUAGUUACGCCGAUGCAAGCUUUUACACCAAUCCGGAUGACUCUGAGCUCAAUUUGGAUACAUAUUGAAAGUGGGAGCAAUUAGCUAGAGUAUCUCCACGCAGAGCAUUGUAGACAUAGAAAAUUUGCAAAAUACAUACGGCUCUGAAUGUGACAGACCCAUUGACUAGGCUUCUCUCACAAGCAAAACAUGAUCACACCUUAGUACUCUUUGGGUGUUAAUCACACAGCGAUGUGAACUAGAUUAUUGACUCUAGUAAAACCCUUUGGGUAUUAGUCACAUGGCGAUGUGAACUAAUCACAUGGUGACAUGAACUAUUGGUGUUAAAUCACAUGGCGAUGUGAACUAGAUUAUUGACUCUAGUCCAAGUGGGAGACUGAAGGAAAUAUGCCCUAGAGGCAAUAAUAAAGUUGUUAUUUAUAUUUCCUUAUACCAUGAUAAAUGUUUAUUAUUCAUGCUAGAAUUGUAUUAACCAGAAACUUAGUACAUGUGUGAAUACAUAGACAAAAUAGAGUGUCCCUAGUAUGCCUCUACUUGACUAGCUCGUUAAUCAAAGAUGGUUAUGUUUCCUGGCCAUAGCCAUGUGUUGUCAUUUGAUGAACGGGAUCACAUCAUUAGAGAAUGAUGUGAUGGACAAGACCCAUCCGUUAGCUUAGCAUAAUGACCAUUUAGUUUUAUUGCUAUUGCUUUCAUCAUGACUUAUACAUGUUCCUCUAACUAUGAGAUUAUGCAAAUCCCGAAUACCGGAGGAACACCUUGUGUGCUAUCAAACGUCACAACAUAACUGGGUGAUUAUAAAGAUGAUCUACAGAUGUCUCCGAAGGUGUGUGUUGGGUUGGCAUAGAUCGAGAUUAGGAUUUGUCACUCCGUGUAUCGAAGAGGUAUCUCUGGGCCCUCUCGGUAAUGCACAUCACUAUAAGCCUUGCAAGCAAUGUGACUAAUGAGUUAGUCAAGGGAUAAUGCAUUACAGAACGAGUAAAGAGACUUGUCGGUAACGAUAUUGAACUAGGUAUGAUGAUACCGACGAUCGAAUCUCGGGCAAGUAACAUACCGAUGACAAAGGGAACAAUGUAUGUUGUUAUGCAGUUUGACCGAUAAAGAUCUUCGUAGAAUAUGUAGGAGCCAAUAUGAGCAUCCAGGUUCCGCUAUUGGUUAUUGACUGGAGAUGUGUCUCGGUCAUGUCUACAUAGUUCUCGAACCCAUAGGGUCCGCAUGCUUAACGUUCGAUAAUGAUUUGUAUUAUGAGUUAUGUGAUUUGAUGACCGAAGGUUGUUCGGAGUACCGGAUGAGAUCACGGACAUGACGUGGAGUCUCAAAAUGGUCGAGAUAUAAAGAUUGAUAUAUUGGACCAUGUUAUUCGGACACCGGAAGUGUUCGGGAUAGUUUCGGGUAAAACCGGAGUGCCGGAGGGGUUACCGGAACCCCCCGGUGUAACUAAUGGGCCACCAUGGGCCCUGUUGGAGAGAGAGGAGGACAGCCAGGGCAGGCCCCCCCCCUUGGAGUCCGAAUUGGACAAGGGAAAGGGGGGCGGCGCCCCCCUUUCCUACUCCCUCUCCCUCUCCUUCCUUCCCCCUCUCUCCCUCUUGGUGGAAUCCUACUAGGACUUGGAGUCCUAGUAGGACUCCCCUCCUUGGGCGCGCCCGCUAGGGCCGGCCGGCCUCCUCCCUCCCUCCUUUAUAUACAUGGGGAGGGGGGCACCCUAGAAUACACAAGUUGAUCUUUUAGCCGUGUGCGGUGCCCCCUCCACAGAAACACACCUCUGUCAUAUCGUCAUAGUGCUUAGGCGAAGCCCUGCGCCGAUAACUUCAUCAUCACCGUCACCAUGCCGUCGUGCUGACGAAACUCUCCCUCGGCCUCAACUGGAUCAAGAGUUCGAGGGACGUCACUGAGCUGAACGUGUGCAGAUCACGGAGGUGCCGUGCAUUCGGUACUUGGAUCGGUUGGGUCGCGAAGACGUUCGAAUACAUCAACCGCGUUACUAAACGCUUCCGCUUUCGGUCUACAAGGGUACAUGGACACACUCUCCCCGCUCGUUGCUAUGCAUCUCCUAGAUAGAUCUUGCAUGAUCGUAGGUAAAUUUUUUAAAAUACUGCGUUCCCCAACAGGAUAUGCAAUGCCAGCCAUGCCAGAGUCAGAAUCCUCAUCGGAUUCAUUGGCUUCUUCGGAGUCUGACGAUUCUUCUUCAUUAUAAUCCAUUUCCUUGCCGAUGUACGCCUUGGCCUUGCGAGAGUUAUUCUUGCGGUUGGAGAAGGACUUGGAAGGAUUCCUUGAGGAAGAUCUUGACGAAGAUUUUGAACAGGAGUUGUCCUUCUUCUUAAAGAACUUCUUCGCUUUCUUCUCAUCAUCGGAGCCGUAGUUCUUGCUCUUGCUUUUGCCUUGAUAGUUGCCAUAAUCAUAUCUUCCACUAGCACGGAUUUCAGCUUCCCAGAGAGGGUAGUCCAAAAUGAAGUGUCCAGCCUUUUUGCACUUGAAGCUAACGUAUUCUCCAGUAGGUUUUGAUGAAGAUUUUGAACCGCCAGAGUUGCUUGAACCUUUCUUCUAGAACUGGCUUUUCUUGUGAAAAUGUUGGAAUCUUUUCGUGAUCAGUGCGAGAUUUUUUUGCUGACCCUUUUAGGGUCAUCAGAAUCUUCUUCAGCAUUUCCUUUGGAGGAAGAAUCAGCCAUAGCCUUGAGAGCAUGGCUUUUGCGAUGGUUUGAACCAUAUAGAUCUCUCUUUUCUUCUUCUUGUUCCUCGUGGGUGUUUAGUCUUUCCAUGAUAUCAGCAGAGUCGAGAUCUUUGAAAUCAGCUCGUUCCCUGAUCAUUAGAACAAGUGUGUUGAAUGAACUAUCAAGUGAUCGAAGCAGCUUCUUCACAACCUCAUGGUCAGUGAUGUCUUUGGCGCCGAGGCCUUGCAGCUCAUUUGCGAUGUCACUCAUGCGAUCGAAGGUUUGCUGACAGCUUUCAUUUCCAAUGCGCUUGAACCGAUUGAACUUUGCUCGAAGAGUGUCAAUGCGAGCUUCUUUCUGAGUUGAAACACCUACAUUUAUCUUCUCGAGAAUGUCCCACAAUUCCUUCGCAGUUUCACACUGUCGAUAGCAAAGAGAUUGAGCAUGAGAGAGAUGAGCACCAAUUUCAUCUUUAGCUUGAGCGUCCAUCUGAAUGGGUUUCUUCUCGGCAUCAGUGGGGGCUUGAGGUAUUUCAAUCGUGAACCCAAACUGCACCACGUUCCGCAUGUCAUCGUCAAUGGCUCGGAGAUGGAUCUUAAUCUUCUCCUUCCAAAAGGGAUAGUCCGUCCCAUUGAACAUGGGAAUCUUGAGAUGCGAGUUGUAGCUCACUGAAGACAUACUUAAACUCUAAGGUUGUUAGACCAAAAUGAGCAGAAUCAAGGAGUACCUUGCUCUGAUACCAACUAUAGGAACGAAGUAUGUCUACCAGAGGGGGUGAAUGGAAGCUUUAAAAUUUCUUCAGAAAUCUCAAAACUCUCGGAACCAGCAGCGGAGCAAAUGAAAAACAAACUAAAGUGAGCUAUAACAAGUACCGAAUGGAAAAAAACAUGCAUCGAGACAAAUCACAUGAAGGAAAACAUAUCGAAUGUAAACAUGGGUAGCAAAGGUAACAUGUGAUGCUCGAUGGCGACAGGGUAUUUGUUCGACCAGUUCGUCCUUCUGCACAAGGACUACGUCUGGUUGGAGGGGCUGUGACUUAACACGGAAGAUAAACUCUCUUCAGCCUAUUCUCCUCGACAAUUGGUUCGUCAACCAAUGUCGAUCACUCAUUGUAGAUACUUGAGGCAAUCUCUGAACCUUUACAUACUUCUUCUUCGAGAACCACAAUCACUCUUGGUCUCUAAAGAAAUUGACACCUAACUGUCUAGAGAGUUUGCAGCUCUCAAGAGUAAUGGUGGAGCGUACUGGACUUAGAUUCGAGUGAUGUUGAACCACUAUCUAUUUUUUCGGCUCUAGGGGUUUUCUCUUGGUGGAUUUUAAACUCAAAUCGCUCAGAGAGGGGGUUACUCAACAAUCUUAUCAGAAUCAAAGGGAGUAGCCACCGAACAAAGCUGGCGCGGGGUGGCUAUUUAUAGACGCAGGCUUCCCUGGAGGGAAAUGACCAUUUUGGACACGCGGUCUAGCCAAUGGCCAACCGACACGUUUACAACGGUCAGAUUUUGGAGCAACGGUAACAUUGCUUGAGGAACAAGCAAUGCUAACUCCUCGGUCUGAGACAAAUCACUCGUAGCGAAGAAGAUCGCAGUCUCUUGCUGGCAAGUAUUUGCUCAGAACACAAGGAGAUUUCUCUCGCAACUUUCAUAGGAUUUGGGUUUAGCAUCAGAGAUUCAAAGCUUCGAACGCUACACCCCUCUUAAUAGUACGGUGGUCCUAUGACUCAAUAAAGAUAAGAAGAACAACGAAAUAAAUGCUACGUCUUCACUUCGUCUUCAAUCUCCUCGGACGCAGUCAUCUUCCUUGGACAAGCACCGAACCAAUUGCUUCACUUCAAAAAAAUUGAGGGGUCACUCUUGUUAUCAUAACCUUUGGUGAUAACCUUCAUUGCAGCACAGGGAGGUUACCUUCGUCGUUUAACUCAAACUCCUCGUGAUCUCAGGGACUUGUUACUCUGUGUGCUCUAGCAAAUACAUAAGUCACAUACUGUUUAUGUCAACAAACUCCUAAACAUAAGGGGCCUAUCAUUGCACCAACAGCUACCAGGAUUUUUUUUUCUGGAGGUAGGAGACGAAGUGGGAGAAAGGGAUAAGUGAGGGGGUCCCUGUGGGGCCCACCACCCACCAGGGCGCGCCUAGGGGGGUAGGUGCGCCCUUAUGCCUUGUGGGCACCUGGGGAAUCCCCGGGGAUGGUUUUAGUGCCAAAAAUGCUUAAAUAUUCAGAAAAAAAUCAUGUAAAAAUUUCAGGUCAUUUUGAGCACUUUCAUUUUUGGGCACUUUUUCAUUGCACAGAUAAUUCAGAAAACAGGAUAUUCGUGGCAUUUUAUUGCAUUUAACUAAGAGUAACAUAAAAUAUAAAGUGAGUACAGAAGCUUGUGCCUACUAAAUUCAUCGACCACAUGCCUCUCGAAAAUAAUACAUUAAUAAGGUUCAUCAAGUCUUAUUAACAACUACUUCUGAUUAGCAUGAAACCGAAGAAUCUUGUAAAACACUAGGUUACCUCAAUGGGGAUAUGCAUCUCCCCAACAAUAAGUGUCUCAUAUUUCUUUUUAACAAUAUGAAGGGGAAUUUAAAAACUUCCAAUAGUAAUUGUCGGAGUCUUUUCAAUAACAUGAAUACCAUUUACUUGAAACUGUUUCUUCGGAAAGUGCACCUUAUGUUCAUUACUAUUGAUAUGAAAAGUGAUCUUACUUUUGUUGCAAUCAAUAACAGCCUUGCAGUGUUCAAAAAGGGCAUAUCAAGUAUAACAGUUGUCGUCCUCGGGCAUAUCAAGUAUAACAAAGUCUGUUAAGAUAGUAACAUUUGUAACUACAACGGGCACAUCCUCAGACACUGAUAGGUAUGACAGUUGAUUUGUCAGCCAUUUGCAAUGAUAUUUCAGUGGGUGUAAGUUUAUUCAAAUCAAGUCUUUUAUAUAGAGAAAGGCAUAACACUAACACCGGCUCCUAAAUCACAUAAAUCAGUUUUGACAUAAUUUCUUUAAAUGUAGCAUGGUAUAAUUGGUAUUCCUGAAUCUCCUAGUUUCUUAUGUCUCCAUCCUUAAAAGAGUAGUUUGCAAGCAUGUUUGAGAUUUCAACUUUAGGUAUUUUUCUUUAUUAAUGACAGUAUCUUUCAUAUAUUUAGCAUAAGGGGUCAUCUUUAAAAUAUCAGUCAAACGAGUACGCAAAAAGACUAGCCUAAGCAUUUCAGCAAAGCGUUCAAAUUCUUCCUCAUCCUUUUUUUGAUGAUUUAUGUAACACCCCGAGAAUCAUGCUACAGUAAUCUUCCCCUAAUGGUGAUCAUGUCAUCAUGAUUACUAUGCAAAUUCCCACUUGUCCAAAAUCAAAGUCAAAUUCAAAUUUAAAUUGCAAGUGAAAACACUAUUUCUUUGAACUGUAAACUAAAAUGUUCACAUUACUCUAUAAUUCCCCUGAUCUUUGUCAUGUUGAAACCAAAUUAAUUUGACUCACAAAUAAACUCCUAGGAAUUUAUUAAGUGGUCCAAAGGCAUUUAAUUUGGCCUUUUCAAAGUAACAAAAAUUUCAACCUUUGGAAAUGCCCCAAAACUUUUUGUGCAGCCCUAGAAUAUUGCAUAGCAUUUUUGUGCAAAGUUUGAGCUCCGAAAUAAAGUAAUUGCUAUCUAAACUAAAUAGGAAACCGUAGCAGUUUUAUUACAAAAAGAGAGAGGAGAAAUGGCCCUAUGCCAAAAAAAGAGAGGAGUAAUUGCUAUCUAAACUAUCGUCAUUCAAAAUCACACGAUUUUUCCAAUGUACUACCUCCGUUUGAGAACGUAAGACGUUUUUGUUGGCUAGUUUAGCCUACAAAGCCGUCUUAUAUUUUGAGACGAGGUAGUAUUUCGUAAAAGUGGGACACACGUAUAAGAUUUAGUACUUAAGACUUGCACUUGAUAGCCAAAUUUCGUUUUCAAAUUCCCCAAUGAACACUGAUUAGCAGAAUCACGCCUUUCCCAUUGGCAACAAACUUUCACCCCACCCGCAAAAAAAAAACUUUCACCCCGGGCAUGCAAAACACAAGCAGGUAUCCAAUCCCCAUUGUAUAUUUGUUCAAGAACAUCACUAAUUAAUGGUACAAAACAGCCAACUCCCAGCAGAGUGGGGUUACGGCGAGCAGAGCGGCGGCAACACCCAGCAAGGAGUACCCUGCGCCGGCGCCCCCUGCCGCGCCAUUGCCGGAGGAGCUGCCGUACUGGGCAUUGGCGCUCUCGAGAUGGAUGACCAGGCAGACGACGGCAGGAGGAGAGAGCGGUGGUCCAUCUUGAUGAUCUCGCUUUGCUUCUGAAGCCUGCUCGGUCGUGCCUAGGGAGAGGUCUAUAUAGAGGUGUGGACACGAUACGCUCUUGCACAAAGCAAACAGAGAGACAGAAAUUUGACUAGUUCUCUGAGGCUGGAGCGUCGUUUCAAUCGCAAGUGGAUGGUUUCUUGCCGUUGUGUUGAGCUGAACCAAAGCUGCUAUGUUGGUUUUACAUAUUCGCCUGACAAUCCCUGAGGAAGGCGGUGUUUCUGGCUGCAUCUCCAGUGACCGUCUCGAGAUUUCGCCUAUGUUCUGUGCUAGACCCAGGAGCUCAUUGACAAGGUCAGUUGCAGCUGGAAACCACUAUGUUGAUAGCAACCAUGACCAAAUCAAGAGCUGGCAGACCAAAAGAAUCAAGGGAUACAAUCACAACUGUUUCUGAUGCAGCUCUACGCUUCGACUCAGCGGUCCAUCUGGUGUCGCAUCGAUCAAACACGCAAUCAUUGUGUGGUUGUUUCCAAUUGUGGCUUUUGAUCAUGUUCGGUCCAUCCCAAGUAGCUGCAUCCUCAAACAUGCCAGUGAAGUCGUCAGGUAGCGGUGUUAUGGAUUGCAGAGAACUCAGACCUGGAACAAACUGGACGGGAGAAGACACGCACCACGUGAGGAGAUGGAAUAUGGCCUAGGCCUCCCGGCUGCAGAGAGGGCAAAGAUGCUGAUUUUGAAGCCUGUGUCGCUCCAGCAUAUCCGCUGUCCGGCAGCUGUUGGCGAAGAUCUUGCACUUAGCCGAUGCCCAGGCGCCCAGCCUUCCAAGAUUGGACUAUUCCUUCAAACAGCGUCUUCAUAAGCAGAUUUAGCGGAGUAAACAAGGGCUGAGAAAUUACCAAAUGAAGUAAUCUUCGUCUCGUUGGCGGACUGGGCAUCGACGAGUGGAGUUAUACACCAGAAAUGAAUUAGCAACUUGUUACCGCACCUGCAAAAUUUAGCUCCAGGUAGCCUCGGCUUGGUACCAUCAACUGAUAUAUAUAAAUACAUGUUGCCCGUGCUACUCACAGUUACAAAAAUUAAAUAACUGUGAGGCUAAGAUAAACGACUUCCACCAACAUCCCGGUGCUCUGCUCGGGAGGAGUUUGGCAUACUUCCAUGGGGUUUGGAAUAGAAACGCCCCUCUCAAGUUCUAAACAGGCAAGUUCAAAAAAAAACUUCUAAACAGGCACCGGUCAGUUGCGACCGGAUAUUUUCAUUUUCUGUGCGCACGCUCAGGCUGAAUGUGCUCCCCACAUCUUCAGCUAGGACCAUCCACUCCGGUUCUAGGGCAGAACACUGAAACUAAAUCCACUCACGCUCUAGCACACAACACUGAAACAACUUCCACAAAUAUACAAUAAUAAAACACCCUCCAUCCCAAAACAUAAGACGUUUUUUGAUACUAUCAUAGUAUCAGAAAACGUCCUACAUUUCAGGACGGAGGGGGUAGAGUAUAACAGGAUGACAUGCAAUAGAUAGUAUACGUGCUCCCUCCACUUUUAUCCGGGCUUGGGACCGGCAUUGGCAGUGUUACGCACCCUCACCCCACCCCAUACAAUCGCUUCACACAUAAAUAGGCAACAAAUCUUAAGAGACGAUGACGAAACAUGUCAACAGGGCAAACACUACAAACUGUAGAUGGAGAUGCAACAACUUAUUAAGGACCUACCAAGAUAGGUCAUUUUACACACCAUAACACAUAAGAAGAAUAUAACGCUAUGAAUACACAUCACAUCCGUUGACAAAACAAUUAGCUGUUCCUUGUCAAAACAAAUCAUGAAAAAUAGAAGCUACCGUGAAGCAAAACUCGACUAAUCAAAUAGAAAGGACUGUAUUACAUGUCAAGAGAAGCAUAGCACAUAAAUAGCAAAUUCUCAUGCACUUCAGCUAAUAACUACACCCCAGAAUCAUCAUUUUGAACUUGUCAAAUAUAGCAAUUAUCAUGUAUAAGAAAGUUGCGGUUAUAUUAAUUAGCACAACUAUUUCACUAAAGCCAACAUAGGUCAGCGUACACAAAUUAACACCUUGCAUCAUGACUGUACACGAUCAGACUAGAAAUUCAGUUAUGUACCAAAUAUGAGACAAUGCUAAUUCACAGUACACUAUCUAACAUAAAAGAAGACAGACAUACUCACAUCAACAAUGGAUAAGAAGUUGCUAUGAACAUAGAAUUAAUAUGUUUUGCCAGGUUGUACAACAGACGCAGCAAAAAGAAACUUUAGAUGCAAUAACGAUGUACGAUGGUGCUAAUGAACCAACAAUAUAGGCACUAAAAUAGUCAAAAUCAAAGACAGAAAUAUGGGCAGACCUGAAUAUAUAUGGGAUACAAACAACCAGAAUUCAAGAUGUCUUAAGUUAAAUAUACUCGUGCUCAUUUGCAGCGCAAGAUGAGAGAUUCUCAUGAGCAGCACCAAGUAGAACUAGUAAAAGUAAUAGCUCAUGAGCAAUAUAUGGGUAUGACUAUUUUGGAAAAAGGAGGAAAAUCACUAUUUCUAGGAAAUAGUUGGCUUAACUACAAAAAUGAGAAUCGCCCCGAAGUUGGGCGGGCCAUACUGAAAAAGAGCACACAAUUUUGAGGCAUUAGUCACUACUCAGCCCCUUCUGUUGUCAUUAAAUUUUCACCAUAUGUUGAUAAACAAGUUAGCAGCAAGAGACUCAUCUUCUACCUUGUUAUGCAAGCUUGUUUCAGUUAUCUUUCAUACACUCAAAUGCACUUAAGAAAAAAAUUAUUUAGCAUUAGGUACGAACACCAGCUGAUUCACCAAAGAAAAAUGCAUUAGUUAUGCUCAGUUCAACCAAUGGAUAACAGAAACACAUGCUCCAGAGAUAAUUGGAAAUUACCUAGCAGCAUCGAUGUAGGAGGUGAACAUAGGCUCUACUCGAUAGUUGUCAGCGGAGGCCCAAGCCCGGAGGGGAGGAUGGGGCCGUGGCGAGGUGAGGCGAGGGGAGCCGUGGAGCAGGAAGAAUGUCGGGGAGGCCGGCGUCGUGCUGUCGGACGACAGCUGAGGUGCCGCGUGUUAGCAUUCUUGUGUGUAUGUUUAGCAGCGAUGAGGCUGUGCUAUCCGCGCGGUGGUGGGGGUUGGUUGUGCCAUGCAAGAUUUGCGCCUGUGCGAGACACGGGCAGCGGCGCCUGCUCCUGCUGUGUGCGCUUCGUGCUAGAAAUCUUUUUGGUCUCCUGGUGUACUCGAUGGUGGACUGGGCUGAGCCAAGCAUACACAGUAAUAAAAAAGUCAUGGAAAUCAUGGGCGGGCCAUGGCCCUGUUGUGCCCCAACUAAGCUCCGCCCCUGGGCGUAAGAACUCCCAAACUUAUCCCACUAAUUGAUCAAUCAAUUAUUCUUAUUCAAAAAAUCCUCGACUAUACAGAAACAAACUCACAUGAUUGUAAGGGAAAAAUUCAACCAGGCAUAUGAGAAAUACUCUGACAGGUCAUUAUGCACACUAAACACAAAUAUGCGCCAUGAAGGCUUACCCUAAAAAAAAGAGAGCGCUACGAUUCUCUUUAAAACAAAAUCAUACAAAUAGAAGUUAUACCAUCAUUUAAGAGGCAAGAUCCAAUAGUCCUGCACAAUUUCCUAUGCCCAUAAAUAGCAAAUGUGGAUGCUAGAGAUAUAAACAAAGUGCACUAAAGCUAACAAAUACACCCAAGUACCAAACCACAGCCAUAUUCAUCAUUUUGAACUUGAAAUUAUGGACAAAACAGCAUUGCAGUUACAUCAAAAGGCAGAACCAUUAUCAGUUACAUUACUGUCCAAUAAACCCAACAUGAAUGUUUUCUUCAACUCGUUGUUAUUUUCAACAAAUCAAAAUGCCAUUGAAGCUUUAGAAAGAGGCCGACUCAAGUAAGCCAGACACAAAGUCAACAUGCAAAAAUAACACCUCACAGAAUGACAGCGUACACAAUCACACCAGAAAUUCAGCCAUACACAAACUUUGGGACAAUACAGAGUAAGAAAAGUUAAUUCACAGUGCACCAUCUUAGAAAAAAACGCCGUAUUGAACACAACACUACAACAACGUAACAUUAAUAAGCACGAGUCAAAAUGCUUAACCUAUUUGUACAACGUAGAAAGAUGUAUAUAGAAGAAAACGAAAUGUACGAAAAUCGCAUUUCAGAUAUAGCAUGGUACUAAUUGACCUACCAGAGCUACAAAAAGAAACAAUGAUGGUAAUCAACUUUUACUUAUUUGCAAAAAUAUAGGCAUUAAAGCUUAGAAGAAAGAACAUGCUAACUGAAAUGUGAACUCGAAUUGACUACGAUAUGGACUAAAAAUGACCUCACAAAAGUAAAAGGAUAUCUCAAACUUAUUACACCUAAUGAAUAAGAUGACUCCGAUGAGCAACACAAAGUACAGCUCAACAGCAUAUAAUAACAAUAAAAGAACUAGUGGCUUUAUAACUCUAAACUCCCUUCAAGUCAGUAACCCUAAACUGUAACUUGAAUUCAUGGCAUGACUUACAUUCAGAUUUUAUCUGAAUUCAUGACGAAUGUGUAACUAGAUACAUGAAGUUUAAGCAAACAAGUAUUAAACAAGGAAUUUUGUGACGCCCCCGAUUUGACCGUACACUAAUCAUGCACGCAAAUGUGUACGAUCACGAUCAGGGACUCACGGGAAGAUAUCACAACACAACUCUACAACAUAAAUAAGUCAUACAAGCAUUAUAAUACAAGCCAGGGGCCUCGAGGGCUCGAAUACAAGUGCUCGAUCAUAGACGAGUCAGCGGAAGCAACAAUAUCUGAGCACAGACAUAAGUUAAACAAGUUCGCCUUAAGAAGGCUAGCUCAAUAGUAGCAACGAUCGAAAAGGCAAGGCCUCCUGCCUGGGACCUCCUAACUACUCCUGGUCGUCGUCAGCGGCCUGCACGUAGUAGUAGGCACCUCCAGUGUCGUAGGUGUCGUCGUCGACGGUGGCGUCUGGCUCCUGGACUCCAAUAUCUGGUUGCGACAAUCAGAUAGAUAGGAAGGGGGAAAAGAGGGAGAGAAGCAACCGUGAGUACUCAUCCAAAGUACUCGCAAGCAAGGAGCUACACUACAUGUGCAUGGGUAUAUGUGUAAAGGGGCAUAUCAGUGGUCUGAACUGCAGAAUGCCAGAAUAAAAGGGGGAUAGCUAGUCCUGUCGAAGACUACGCUUCUGGACAUCUCCAUCUUGCAGCAUGUAGAAGAGAGUAGAUUGAAGUCCUCCAAGUAGCAUCGCAUAGCAUAAUCCUACCCGGCAAUCCCCUCCUCGUCGCCCUGUUAGAGAGCGAUCACCGGGUUGUAUCUGGCACUUGGAAGGGUGUAUUUUAUUCAGUAUCCGGUUCUAGUUGUCAUAAGCUCAAGGUACAACUCCGGGUCGUCCUUUUACCGAGGGACACGGCUAUUCGAAUAGAUAAACUUCCCUGCAGGGGUGCACCACAUAACCCAACACGCUCGAUCCCAAUUGGCCGGACACACUUUCCUGGGUCAUGCCCGGCCUCGUAAGAUCAACACGUCGCAGCCCCACCUAGGCUCAACAGAGAGGUCAGCACGCCGGUCUAAACCUAUGCGCGCAGGGGUCUGGGCCCAUCGCCCUAAGCACACCUGCACGUUGCGAACGCGGCCACGAGCAGACCUAGCAACCCACACGAUCACGGCGGUUACGUCAAAGCGGUCCAACACGGCGCGGGCCACUCAGUCGCUGACGUCAAAAGAGCUUCGGCUGAUACCACGACGUCGGGAUACCCAUAACUACUCCCACGUAGAUGGUUAGUGCGUAUAGACCAAAUGGCCAGACUCAGAUCAAAUACCAAGAUCUCGUUAAGCGUGUUAAGUAUUCGCGAACGCCGACCAGGGCCAGGCCCACCUCUCAUCUAGGCGGUCUCAACCUGCCCUGUCGCUUCGCCACAAAGAUCCACUUGCGGGUACUCCUACGAGCCGACCCGACUUUAGUCAUCUCAGGUGUCAUGUAUAUAAUAUAUAAGUAUAUGCCCGUGUCCACCGCCCAGGUGAUCACGGCCCGAUAGUAUAGCACAGCAGACGGACAAGAAUGUAGGGCCACUGAUGGAAAACUAGCAUCCUAUACUAAGCAGUAGGGUAGCAGGUAAGGGAAACAACUGUAGCAACAAUGACAGGCUAUGCAACAGAAUAGGAUUAACCGAAAGCAGUAACAUGCUACACUACUCUAAUGCAAGCAGUAUAGAGGAGAGUAGGCGAUAUCUGGUGAUCAAGGGGGGGGCUUGCCUGGUUGCUCUGGCAAGUAGGAGGGGUCGUCGACUCCGUAGUCGAACUGGGCAGCAGCAGUGUCGGUCUCGUAGUCUACUGGAGAGAAGAGGGGGAAGAAACAGUAAAUACAAUGCAAACACAAGCAUGACGAUGCGUGACAUGACAGUGAGCGGUGCUAGGGGUGUCCUAACGCGACAGUAGGUGGUACCGGUGAAGGGGGGGAACAUCCGGGAAAGUAUUCCCGAUGUUUUGCGUUUUCGGACAGAAGGACCGGAGGGGGAAAGUUGCGAGUUCGAUAGGUUAGGGAGGUGUGGUGGACGCACGGACUGCGUAUCCGGAUUCGUCUCGUCGUUCUGAGCAACUUUCAUAUAGAAAACAUUUUAAUCCGAGUUACGGUUUAAUCUAUGAAUUUUCAAAGUUUAUUUGAAUUUCUGGAAUUAUUUAAUUAACAGAAAAAGGGAUAUGACGUCAGCAUGACGUAUGAGUGACGUCAGCGGUCAACAGUCCGGGUUGACUGGUCAAACUGACAAGGGGGACCCACCUGUCAUAGACAGUGGGUUAACAGAAGAUUAAACUAAUUAGUUUUUAGUUAAUUAACUACUGGGCCCACCUGUCAGUGAGAGAUUAAUUAAACUAAUUAUUUUUAUUUAUAAAACAUUUUCUUUUUUAAUUUUUGCGGCAGGGCCCGCAUGUCAGUGACUGGGCCUGCCCAGUCAGCAGUUGACUGGGUCAACCCAGUCAACUGGGGCCCGUGGGGGCCACUGGCAGUGACCCAGGGGGUGGCCCCAGGUGUGCCACGUCGGCGGCCGGCGCCGGCGCAACUCCGGCGACCAAAACCGCGGCGGUCCCUCGCCGGAGUUGGCCGGAAUUGCGCUACGGGGCUCGGGGAGGAACGGGGCUAGGCCCAUUCGAAAGAACUCACAGCGCCGCAUCCAGGGGUGGCCGGGGCUUCGCCGGACUCGGCCGGAAUCGGCGCCGGCGAGCGGCGGAGGCGGCGGCGCGCACGGGUGCCCGACAGAAACAGGGCUACGGCAGGCGGUCGAGCAAGCGGAGGGGCUGGGGAGCUUCUACGUGCGGUGGGGAGCGCUGUGAGCUUGAGCCCGUGACCAUUUGGUCACCGGAGACCCGCCGGCGGCGAGCUCCGCGGCGCGGCGUUCGGGCGCGCGUGGGGGAAAAGCUAGGGAGCGUGGGCGAGCUAGCGGAGUGGGGGAGGAGGUAGAGGUGCUCACCGCGUGGCGCAAGAAAGGCCCGUGGGUGCUUAGGAGCAGCAGGUCGGCGCCGGGGAAGAAGGGGGGUCGCCGGCGUCCGAGGUUGAAGGCGAGCUCGGGGAGGCCGUUGCGGUGGCUCCGAGCUUCGACGGAGAGGCGGAGGGGGUGUAGUCGAGGGCGGCGACGUCGUACGACACGGCGGGGUGGCGAGUGGGGCACGGUGGCCGCGNNNNNNNNNNNNNNNNNNNNNNNNNNNNNNNNNNNNNNNNNNNNNNNNNNNNNNNNNNNNNNNNNNNNNNNNNNNNNNNNNNNNNNNNNNNNNNNNNNNNNNNNNNNNNNNNNNNNNNNNNNNNNNNNNNNNNNNNNNNNNNNNNNNNNNNNNNNNNNNNNNNNNNNNNNNNNNNNNNNNNNNNNNNNNNNNNNNNNNNNNNNNNNNNNNNNNNNNNNNNNNNNNNNNNNNNNNNNNNNNNNNNNNNNNNNNNNNNNNNNNNNNNNNNNNNNNNNNNNNNNNNNNNNNNNNNNNNNNNNNNNNNNNNNNNNNNNNNNNNNNNNNNNNNNNNNNNNNNNNNNNNNNNNNNNNNNNNNNNNNNNNNNNNNNNNNNNNNNNNNNNNNNNNNNNNNNNNNNNNNNNNNNNNNNNNNNNNNNNNNNNNNNNNNNNNNNNNNNNNNNNNNNNNNNNNNNNNNNNNNNNNNNNNNNNNNNNNNNNNNNNNNNNNNNNNNNNNNNNNNNNNNNNNNNNNNNNNNNNNNNNNNNNNNNNNNNNNNNNNNNNNNNNNNNNNNNNNNNNNNNNNNNNNNNNNNNNNNNNNNNNNNNNNNNNNNNNNNNNNNNNNNNNNNNNNNNNNNNNNNNNNNNNNNNNNNNNNNNNNNNNNNNNNNNNNNNNNNNNNNNNNNNNNNNNNNNNNNNNNNNNNNNNNNNNNNNNNNNNNNNNNNNNNNNNNNNNNNNNNNNNNNNNNNNNNNNNNNNNNNNNNNNNNNNNNNNNNNNNNNNNNNNNNNNNNNNNNNNNNNNNNNNNNNNNNNNNNNNNNNNNNNNNNNNNNNNNNNNNNNNNNNNNNNNNNNNNNNNNNNNNNNNNNNNNNNNNNNNNNNNNNNNNNNNNNNNNNNNNNNNNNNNNNNAUAUCCGGACCGAAGAGUGGACGUUCCCCAGUUUCUGACCAGUUCAGAGGGGUUCGGCACUUUCGUCCAUAUAACACUUCGAAGGGGGCCAUCUUCAGACUAGCUUGAUAGCUAUUAUUAUAAGAGAACUCAGCAUACGGGAGAGAUUCCUCCCAUUUCUUGCCGAAGGAAAUAACGCAAGCUCGAAGCAUGUCUUCGAGAACUUGGUUGACGCGUUCAACUUGUCCUUGCGAUUGAGGAUGAAACGCAGUACUGAAUGACAGAUGAGUUCCCAUAGCUUCUUGGAAACUUGCCCAGAAUCUUGAAGUGAAUAAGCUACCACGGUCUGAACUGAUAACCAAUGGAAUACCGUGGAGUGAAACAAUCCUGGACAUAUAGAGCGUUGCCAACUGGCUAGCAGUGAUCGUUUCUUUGACCGCCAGAAAAUGUGCAACUUUGGAAAGCCGGUCAAUGACGACAAGAAUAGCAUCAUUACCUUUCUGCGAUUUGGGAAAUCCAGUGACGAAGUCCAUCUCAACAUGGUCCCAUUUCCAUUCAGGAAUAGAGAUAGGUUGCAGAGUUCCAGCAGGCCUUUGAUGUUCUGCUUUGAUACGACGGCAAACGUCACACUCAGCAACAUAACGAGCAAUGUCUUGCUUCAUAUUAGACCACCAGAAUCUCUGAUGGAUAUCUUGGUACAUCUUUGUACUACCCGGAUGGAUACUUAGAGGCGUAUCAUGAGCUUCUUUCAUAACUUCCUGUGUCAUAUCCAGGUUUUUCUCUGCACAUGGCACCACUAGGCGGCCCUUGAAGUAUAGGGUGCCAUCUUCAGAAAUGGUGAAGAAUGAGGGCUUUCCUUCUGCGAGGUAGUGCUUAAUCUUGUAGGCUUCAGAGUCAUACUUCUGUAGCCUUUUGAUGCUGUCCUCGAGAUCUGGUUUAGCAACUAGGGUAUUGAGGGAACCCUGGGUAACAACGUGGAGGUUCACCUUGCCAAAUUCCUUAGGAGGGGGAGCGAGUGCACCCGGAGGAACAAUAUGGAGGUUCAGCUUCCUGAAUUCUUCAACAAGUGAGGGCUGAACUUUAUGAACCUGGAGGUGGUUGCAGUAAGACUUGCGGCUCAAGGCAUCAGCCAUUACAUUAGCCUUGCCUGGCGUAUAGGAAAUACCCAAAUCAAAGUCUGCGACAAGCUCCAUCCAUCUCUGCUGACGGAGGUUCAGGUCUGGCUGAGUAAACAGAUACUUCAGACUUUGGUGGUCGGUGAAGAUCUCGCAACGAUUACCGAGAAGGUAAUGUCGUCACUGCUUCAGCGCAUGAAUGACGGCAGCAAGUUCGAGGUCGUGAACUGGGUAGUUCUCUUCGUGAGGGCGCAAUUGUCGAGAGGCAUAAGCAAUCACUCUGCGGUCUUGCAUUAGGACACAGCCUAAUCCUUGACGGGAAGCGUCGCAGUAGAUGACGAAGUCCUUCUUAGUAUCAGGUGGAGCUAGAACUGGGGCAGAAGUCAACUUGUCUUUGAGUGCCUGGAAACUUUCCUGACAUUUGUCUGUCCAUUGUAACUUGACGCCCUUAUGUAACAGGUUAGUCAGAGGCCUGGCGAUCUUGGAGAAGUUCUCGACAAAUCGACGGCAAUAGCUGGCGAGACCGAGAAAACUUCUGACUUGCUUAACGUUCUUGGGAGGAGUCCAAUCAAGAAUAGCCUGAACUCGCUCGGGGUUGACGGCAAUACCAUCCUUAGAGAUGACAUGCCCCAGAUAGGUUACUUCCGGUAGCCAGAAUUCACAUUUAGAGAACUUGGCAUAUAGUUGAUGUUCUCGUAGUUUUUCCAGCACAAGUCGAAGAUGUUCAGCAUGUUCUUCUUCGUUCUUGGAAAAUAUCAGGAUAUCAUCCAGAUAAACCACGACGAACUUGUCGAGGUAAUCCAUGAAUAUGUAGUUCAUCAGACGAGAGAAGGUGGCUGGAGCAUUGGUUAAACCGAAAGACAUGACGGUGUACUCGUAUGAACCAUAGCGAGUCACGAAGGCGGUCUUUGGGAUAUCCUCUUCGCGAACACGGAUCUGGUGGUAGCCCAACCUCAAGUCGAGCUUAGAGAACACUGACGAACCCGCCAGUUGAUCAUACAGAUCAUUGAUCCGAGGAAGAGGGUAUUUAUUCUGAAUGGUAGCUUGGUUUAUAGGACGGUAGUCUUGAACUAACCGGUUUGUCCCGUCCUUCUUCUUGACAAAGAGAGAAGGUGCUCCCCAAGGAGAGCAACUUGAACGAAUGAAUCCUUUGCGAAGAGACUUGUCGAUUUCCUCCUUAAGCUCAAGGAGUUCAUGCGGCGGCAUCUUGUAGGGUCGCUUGGCUAUAGGAGUGGUGCCUGGUUUCAAGUCGAUGAUGAAUUCGACAGCUCUAGCAGGGGGAAUCCCUGGAAGUUCUUCAGGGAAGACGUCGAGGAAUUCACGCACGACGGGAAUGUUUUCAAUGCCCUCGAGUGGUGCAGCGUUCAAUGCAUUCAAUGCAUAGAGCCUUGCCUCGGCAUUUUGCACCAGAUGGGCUUGGUAAGUAACUAUCUCAUCUGAAGGGUGUAGCAGAUGGACGGUCUUAGUGGUGCAAACGAUUGAAGCAGUAUGCGCUUUUAACCAAUUCAUUCCCAGAAUGAGAUCAAUGCUACAGGACUUCAGUACGAUGGGAGAGACAAGAAAUUCCAGUCCUUCAAUUUCAACAGUAACAUCGCGACUAACCAUAGAGGUUUGACAUUGGCCCGCUGGGGUGUGUACCACUAGCGGAGUGUUUAUCUCUUCGUGAUUAAUGCCAUGCAGGAAUGCAAAUUCUGCUGAAAUGAAUGAAUGGGAUGCUCCUGUAUCAAAUAAAACGGAUGCUGGUACUGAAUUUGCGAGGAGUGUACCCAUCACAGUAGCAGGCUGGUCUUGAGCUUCGCUGAGAUCAACGUGGUUGGCAUGAGCACGACCAUAAGACUUAGCAUUGUUGUUGCGGGGCUGGUUGUUACCACGGCCAGCUGCUGGAAGGGCCAGUUGAUUCUGAUUCUGAUAGCAGUUCCUGGCAAAGUGACCCGGUUGACCACACUUGAAGCACAGACCAUUAUCGGGAGUGGGAACAGGAGCCCCAGGUGGGGGAGCUGGUAGCUUUGACUGCUUAGAUGGUGGAGGAGGCAGACGCGGUGCAGCAUAAGAUUUCCUGGGAGCAGGUGCAUUUGGACGAUACAUGCUGUUCGGGAUCCAUAUCUUACGCUUCUGUGAGGGCGAGCCCGAAGAUGAGCCCGUGUCACGGUUGCGCCUCUGAGAGCUCUGGUAUUCCUGCAGACCAGUUUCAACAUUGAUGGCCUUGUUCACCAAGGUGGUGAAAUCAGCAAAGUCAUGCACUAGAAGUGCGAGCUUGAUGUCAGCUUGAAGGCCAUCACGGAACUUCUCCUGUCUGCGUGCAUCAGUUGCAAUGUCUUCUUCAGCAUAGCGGGACAAGUCCAGAAACUCCCGCUGAUAAGCUUCGACAGUUUUGUUGCCUUGGGUGAGGUUGCGGAACUCACGCUUCUUCCGAUCCAUGACUCGCUGAGGAAUGAAGCGGGCACGGAAAGCAGCUUGGAAGUCUGGCCAGGUGAUGAUUGUUCCAGCUGGCAGAGUACGCCUGUGGCUGUCCCACCAUUGAGCUGCGGGUCCCUUCAAGAAGAAGGAAGCAAAAUUGACAUAGCUGGCAGGGGCUACAUCAGCAGACUCCAUCUCAUAGGUGAUGUCACGGAGCCAGUCAUCAGCAUCCAGAGGCUGAGUUGAGCUGCGGUAGAUGGUUGGGUUGAGGCGUAUGAAAUCUUGAAGAGUCACUUGGGCUGGCUGCUGGUUCAUAUUGGGGCGAGGGAACUGAGCCAUCAUAUUUUCCAUGAAUUGGCGGUUCAGUUCGAACUGUUGGAUCAUACCAGCCAUGUACUCAGGUGGUGGUGGGGCAUCGCCACCACGACCACGACCACCUGGUCUAACCAUCCUGCUAAUAUAUAACAGGGGUAGUUCAGCAUUUGAGAAAAUUUGCAAUGACAAGAAUCAUUCAUGAUGAAACAUGCAUAAUUGGAAGGAGCACGAUAGCUACUACAUAGUAGUCGGCAUAACUUACAAAAGGGUUCAUGCAUAUAGUUCAGUACAUAGAGUUCAGUACAUAAACUAAAACAUCAUAGGCGGCACAUAGGCUCGCGGCGACUGCAGCUAAUACUACAAGCAAACCUACAUCAGUCCCAAGAGGUACUGUGGAGGUAAUCAUAGCCCGACAGCUGGUAGUGAGGCAACGGAUAGUCCUCCACGUCAGCAGACUGGGGGCCGCGGAUACUCAGGUGUAGAGCCCGGUGCUCAGGUGGCAGAAAAGGUCCAAGUGCGGGAGAGUAGCCUCCCACCUCUGGCCAACCAACACCGUGGGGCAUCACGGUCCUGGCUGGGUAGAUCGCAGAACGCGGUACCUGUCCAGACCGGACAAAGGGGUGCAGCAGCGUCAGAGCACGGUAAAGGUGCUGACGGGUGGUGUACAUCUCGUGGCGAAGAGCUCGGUUAGCUCGAUCCAGCCCAUCAGCAUGCAGAACCAGGUGCUGAUGGUAGAAGGGCUCUCGGGUGACAGUGGAGUAGGCAGCAGUAUAGUAUCCCUCUGCACCAACAUCAGAGGCGAUAGCAAUGUGCCUGAAAGGGGAGGUGUCCAACUCCCGAUACUCUCCACGAAAACGUGUCAGAGCAGCAUAGGCUGCAUCGUGGACAGCCAUAUCGAUGGUCACACCAACACCAUGUGCGGUAUGCAGCACAGUAGUGGAGUCGUACUCCCGAGAGUAGAGGUGGACGAUGGCACGGUACUGCUCCUGGUUAAAGUCCUGGUACUCCUCGUAGACGGUGUACUCAGGGUGCCAGCGAUAACCCAGAUAGGUCAUCAUCUCAGCUAGCACCGCAGGUGAUCCCGAGGCACCAAUGGCCAUCGUGUGGCGAACAACCUGCCUCGUGGGUUCCAUCUGAAAGCAAAGACGUUUCAAAGGAGUCAAAUGACAGUGUGUGAAUUGAUCAAAAUACUAUUCUGAGAAACAUCUAUGGUUUAUCCAUCUUUGGGGUGAACGCGGUCACGGGAUCCUAGUGUUAGAGUUAGUAAAUUCGUUUAACCCGAGUAGAAGAGAGUUCAGAGUCCCAGAGUACAGGUCGAGGAGUAAAAGAUCCUAGUACCACCCAAUGGCGACGUGGGCCCGUAAGCCGCACAGCCAUGUUAGUAAAAGUUUGCAAUGUCUAGACUCGACUUCGGCCAAGGAGUGUGGAAGGGGGUUUCCUACAGGCAGUCGGCUCUGAUACCAACUUGUGACGCCCCCGAUUUGACCGUACACUAAUCAUGCACGCAAAUGUGUACGAUCACGAUCAGGGACUCACGGGAAGAUAUCACAACACAACUCUACAACAUAAAUAAGUCAUACAAGCAUUAUAAUACAAGCCAGGGGCCUCGAGGGCUCGAAUACAAGUGCUCGAUCAUAGACGAGUCAGCGGAAGCAACAAUAUCUGAGCACAGACAUAAGUUAAACAAGUUCGCCUUAAGAAGGCUAGCUCAAUAGUAGCAACGAUCGAAAAGGCAAGGCCUCCUGCCUGGGACCUCCUAACUACUCCUGGUCGUCGUCAGCGGCCUACACGUAGUAGUAGGCACCUCCAGUGUCGUAGGUGUCGUCGUCGACGGUGGCGUCUGGCUCCUGGACUCCAAUAUCUGGUUGCGACAAUCAGAUAGAUAGGAAGGGGGAAAAGAGGGAGAGAAGCAACCGUGAGUACUCAUCCAAAGUACUCGCAAGCAAGGAGCUACACUACAUAUGCAUGGGUAUAUGUGUAAAGGGGCAUAUCAGUGGUCUGAACUGCAGAAUGCCAGAAUAAAAGGGGGAUAGCUAGUCCUGUCGAAGACUACGCUUCUGGACAUCUCCAUCUUGCAGCAUGUAGAAGAGAGUAGAUUGAAGUCCUCCAAGUAGCAUCGCAUAGCAUAAUCCUACCCGGCAAUCCCCUCCUCGUCGCCCUGUUAGAGAGCGAUCACCGGGUUGUAUCUGGCACUUGGAAGGGUGUAUUUUAUUCAGUAUCCGGUUCUAGUUGUCAUAAGCUCAAGGUACAACUCCGGGUCGUCCUUUUACCGAGGGACACGACUAUUCGAAUAGAUAAACUUCCCUGCAGGGGUGCACCACAUAACCCAACACGCUCGAUCCCAAUUGGCCGGACACACUUUCCUGGGUCAUGCCCGGCCUCGUAAGAUCAACACGUCGCAGCCCCACCUAGGCUCAACAGAGAGGUCAGCACGCCGGUCUAAACCUAUGCGCGCAGGGGUCUGGGCCCAUCGCCCUAAGCACACCUGCACGUUGCGAACGCGGCCACGAGCAGACCUAGCAACCCACACGAUCACGGCGGUUACGUCAAAGCGGUCCAACAUGGCGCGCGCCACUCAGUCGCUGACGUCAAAAGAGCUUCGGCUGAUACCACGACGUCGGGAUACCCAUAACUACUCCCACGUAGAUGGUUAGUGCGUAUAGACCAAAUGGCCAGACUCAGAUCAAAUACCAAGAUCUCGUUAAGCGUGUUAAGUAUUCGCGAACGCCGACCAGGGCCAGGCCCACCUCUCACCUAGGCGGUCUCAACCUGCCCUGUCGCUUCGCCACAAAGAUCCACUUGCGGGUACUCCUACGAGCCGACCCGACUUUAGUCAUCUCAGGUGUCAUGUAUAUAAUAUAUAAGUAUAUGCCCGUGUCCACCGCCCAGGUGAUCACGGCCCGAUAGUAUAGCACAGCAGACGGACAAGAAUGUAGGGCCACUGAUGGAAAACUAGCAUCCUAUACUAAGCAGUAGGGUAGCAGGUAAGGGAAACAACUGUAGCAACAAUGACAGGCUAUGCAACAGAAUAGGAUUAACCGAAAGCAGUAACAUGCUACACUACUCUAAUGCAAGCAGUAUAGAGGAGAGUAGGCGAUAUCUGGUGAUCAAGGGGGGGGCUUGCCUGGUUGCUCUGGCAAGUAGGAGGGGUCGUCGACUCCGUAGUCGAACUGGGCAGCAGCAGUGUCGGUCUCGUAGUCUACCGGAGAGAAGAGGGGGAAGAAACAGUAAAUACAAUGCAAACACAAGCAUGACGAUGCGUGACAUGACAGUGAGCGGUGCUAGGGGUGUCCUAACGCGACAGUAGGUGAUACCGGUGAAGGGGGGGAACAUCCGGGAAAGUAUUCCCGAUGUUUUGCGUUUUCGGACAGAAGGACCGAAGGGGGAAAGUUGCGAGUUCGAUAGGUUAGGGAGGUGUGGUGGACGCACGGACUGCGUAUCCGGAUUCGUCUCGUCGUUCUGAGCAACUUUCAUAUAGAAAACAUUUUAAUCCGAGUUACGGUUUAAUCUAUGAAUUUUCAAAGUUUAUUUGAAUUUCUGGAAUUAUUUAAUUAACAGAAAAAGGGAUAUGACGUCAGCAUGACGUAUGAGUGACGUCAGCGGUCAACAGUCCGGGUUGACUGGUCAAACUGACAAGGGGGACCCACCUGUCAUAGACAGUGGGUUAACAGAGGAUUAAACUAAUUAGUUUUUAGUUAAUUAACUACUGGGCCCACCUGUCAGUGAGAGAUUAAUUAAACUAAUUAUUUUUAUUUAUAAAACAUUUUCUUUUUUAAUUUUUGCGGUAGGGCCCGCAUGUCAGUGACUGGGCCUGCCCAGUCAGCAGUUGACUGGGUCAACCCAGUCAACUGGGGCCCGUGGGGGCCACUGGCAGUGACCCAGGGGGUGGCCCCAGGUGUGCCACGUCGGCGGCCGGCGCCGGCGCAACUCCGGCGACCAAAACCGCGGCGGUCCCUCGCCGGAGUUGGCCGGAAUUGCGCUACGGGGCUCGGGGAGAAUCGGCGCCGGCGAGCGGCGGAGGCGGCGGCGCGCACGGGUGCCCGACGGAAACAGGGCUACGGCAGGCGGUCGAGCAAGCGGAGGGGCUGGGGAGCUUCUACGUGCGAUGGGGAGCGCUGUGAGCUUGAGCCCGUGACCAUUUGGUCACCGGAGACCCGCCGGCGGCGAGCUCCGCGGCGCGGCGUUCGGGCGCGCGUGGGGGAAAAGCUAGGGAGCGUGGGCGAGCUAGCGGAGUGGGGGAGGAGGUAGAGGAGCUCACCGCGUGGCGCAAGAAAGGCCCGUGGGUGCUUAGGAGCAGCAGGUCGGCGCCGGGGAAGAAGGGGGGUCGCCGGCGUCCGAGGUUGAAGGCGAGCUCGGGGAGGCCGUUGCGGUGGCUCCGAGCUUCGACGGAGAGGCGGAGGGGGUGUAGUCGAGGGCGGCGACGUCGUACGACACGGCAGGGUGGCGAGUGGGGCACGGUGGCCGCGAGAACGACGGGAACGGCGGCGAGCGCGUCGGGCGUGGGGAAGAGGGGGGGCGGCGCGGAUCCAGGGAAGAGGCGCAGAGGCCGAGGGAGUGAGCGGGGUGAGUGGGAGAGAGGCCCGAGGGAGCGAGGGCCGCUGGCGCCCUUAUCCUCUCGCGGGGUUCACCGCCGGCGAGGUGAUGCGGCGGCAGCGCGCCCCUGUUCCGACCGGGUCGGGGGAACAGGGAAGGGGCGAGGGAGGAGGUGGNNNNNNNNNNNNNNNNNNNNNNNNNNNNNNNNNNNNNNNNNNNNNNNNNNNNNNNNNNNNNNNNNNNNNNNNNNNNNNNNNNNNNNNNNNNNNNNNNNNNNNNNNNNNNNNNNNNNNNNNNNNNNNNNNNNNNNNNNNNNNNNNNNNNNNNNNNNNNNNNNNNNNNNNNNNNNNNNNNNNNNNNNNNNNNNNNNNNNNNNNNNNNNNNNNNNNNNNNNNNNNNNNNNNNNNNNNNNNNNNNNNNNNNNNNNNNNNNNNNNNNNNNNCUUUUCUCUGACUGUUUCUGUUUUCUGUUUUCUUUUUAUUUGUUUAUUUCCUUUUCUGUUUUAUUUCAUUUAAAGUAUUUAGGCAUUUUAUAAAAAGGAGUUUUCUCCACCAUAAUUGCCAGUGUAUUAUUUAGCACCCACAGAACAUUUUUGUUUGAGUUUUUGAAAACUUUUAUUUUUCACUUUAAUUAUAUUUGAAGUUUGAACUAGGAGUUUGACAGGGGUGUGGUUCAAAUGUGAUCAAGCCCUGUUUAGCAACAUGAUUAGCUUAAUCACAGGGGGUUACUGUAGCAUGAUUCUCAGGGUGUUACAAAUUUGAAAGCUGCAAAGUAGGACAUAACAGUGCCAGAAAGGUCAAAAUGCUUUCUACCACCAAUUUAUUAUCCAAAAAGAAAAACCAAAGUAGACAUGAAAUAAAUUAGACUCUGUGCAAACCUGCUAUUUGAAUUCACAACAAACAUGUAAAUAGAUACAUUAUGAUGUUUAACAACAAACAAGUAUGGAACAAGGAACUCCAACGCUGUAGCGUAACAAAUAACAGUGACAAAAGGGUCAAAAUGCCUACUGCUACCAAUUUUUAAUCAAAAACUAAAACAAAUCAGAUGAGAUAAAAAAUUAGACUCUACAUACACUUUUGAAUCAUAGCCAAGGUUAGAAAACAGGAAGUCCAUAUGAGAUUAUUCAGAUUUAUCUGUUAAAUUGCUUUGGUAUAUUUUUACAAGAAAUACUCACAAUUAUAUGCUGGAAAAAAAUCAAAUAAAAGCUACCGAGCCAAGUUAUUAUUAAUUAAAGUACAAUUCAAGGAAGGUGGUGAAGAAAUUCAUUAUAUAUUAACCUAGAGUCACACAAAGAUAAAACUAACGGAAGUAGCAAAACAGACAAUGAAACAGUUGGAAGAAAAAACAACAUGCAAAAUUAAAAAAAUGAGGUAAACAUACUAUAUUAAGUCACAAUAUAAAUAUAUUUAUAUGGAAGUCAAACUAUCUUAAGGAUUAAUUAUAGAACUUGCUCUUGAAUUUAGUUAAAUGAACGCAAACUACAUGCUUAAGAACAUAAUAGUAUAGAUUGAAACAAUACAAACAUAACUAUAUUAUAGUAUCAUUCAAAAUGCAGCCGGAAAUGAGAACACACUAUCUGAAAACAACCUCGUUACGAAUUAAUUUCAGCAUUCAUACUUUUCAGUAUACAGAUGAUAGGUAGAACUAGAAAAAGAUCACUAAAAAGCACAGAACAACAUAACAAACUAGACUAAACAAACUCGCACAUCAAGGUAAAUAUGUCUAUGUGAACUUUACAUCAAUGAAGCAUGCAAACAUAAGAUAAAGAGUAGUACAAACUAGCUUUCUCAACGUGCGGGCAAUGAAUAAGGUAUUUGAGUUCAUUAAGGACAUAUAGACACAUCACAUCGAGACUACUACUAUAUCUUAAAGUGGUGCAACAUGGAUUGGGAACAAAGCUAAAACUCAGGCCAAAACAGAACAACAAGUAGAGGCAUACCAAGACUGACCAAACAUUUAUUGUUAACAAAGCUUGUAAUAAAAUUUUCAAGCAGAAAAAGGAAGGCAAGAAAAUUCAGAGGGAAAUUUUUAGACAUACAUGUAGCACAAGGAUGGCGUGAAGUUACAAAUAGGAGAACAUAGGAGAACGAGCUUAUAGUAAACAAAGAACACAUCUGAAGCUACCGACUUAUAAAUGACCACCAAGGUUGAGAAUUAAAACUAAGCUUAUGUAGAAGUUCACACCCCUACAAUGUAUUUCAAGGUGACCUGUACUAACACCGACUUGGCUCAUAACAUCACUUUAACCUUGACAUAAACCAUAAAGAAAUUCAUGUGAACAGUGGCCAGAAGCAGCAGUCUUGCAUAAAUAAUUUCAUCAGAUAGAAUCAUGGUUCUAUGCCAAGCAAAAUGAAAUUAUUGUAGGAAUUGGAACACUGUGCAUACAUUAUUGACAUUAUUCGAGAAGAUGGGUCAAAACUAGACAGGCACACAAACAGAAAUUUAAGAGUGGUUAUAGGAUAUGAGUCAAUUAGUUAACAAAUGAAUUGAUGAGAAAUAGUAGACAAACAGAAGCCCGUAUCCAAGCACACAUAAACAACAUCAGGUCAUAAACUUAUGUAAAAACUACAUGCCUUUUUCACCUUUCUAAUUGUGACCUUCUCUAUCGAAGAGGGAAAAAUGACAGCACAAUGGAUCAGGGACGAAUAAAUUUUUAAGUAAGCUCAAAACAGAUUAAAAUGUUCUAAUUUUGAAACCAAGGCACCUAAAAAUUAUAGUACAUGCCAUGUUUAUCAUCUCAACCAAAUAAGUGGGGAAAGUAGAACCAAAGCAAAAGCAAUAUGUGUCAUGCUUAUAAUCUCAACCAAUUAAGGGGAAAAGUUAACAGUAUGUGCCAUNNNNNNNNNNNNNNNNNNNNNNNNNNNNNNNNNNNNNNNNNNNNNNNNNNNNNNNNNNNNNNNNNNNNNNNNNNNNNNNNNNNNNNNNNNNNNNNNNNNNNNNNNNNNNNNNNNNNNNNNNNNNNNNNNNNNNNNNNNNNNNNNNNNNNNNNNNNNNNNNNNNNNNNNNNNNNNNNNNNNNNNNNNNNNNNNNNNNNNNNNNNNNNNNNNNNNNAGCUAAAUCGUAACUUAAAACUGUUGAUAGUUAUCACACAAUAUUUGCCUCUGAAUACUAUGUAAAAUCGUUACGAAUCAAGUAAGUUAAUACAUAUAUAGCCUAUGCCCAUGAACAAUAUGUAUCAUAAUUCAAACUAACCAGGUAGGAAAAAUCCACGAGUAAAAGCAGACUGUAAAUAAUGCAAACAUAGAAGACCAACACCUUCAAAUAUACUUAAAGCUUAACACCGAACUACAAAAAAAAGCGAUAGAAUGUGCCACUCGUGAAUGAUGCGGAAUCAAGAUUAAAUACAAGCAACUGACGUGAUUAUUAAAAGGAAUCUUGUGCAUGAUUGAAGAGAGCACCCAAAAAGAAUACAAGCAGUGAACAAGUUCAAAAUGUUAGGUCAAAAGUGAUCAUUAUUAUCUUAGAUUAGGAGAACUACAGAAGUGGGAUGCUCUGAACAAUCUCCGAUGAACUUGGCACACAUGAACACAAAUAUAUUAACUUAACGUAAGCCAAAAAAAACAUCAAGCUAUGAAAUUCAGUUGCUAUUUUGUCGCAGCUUUUAUGCAGCCAACCAAACAACGAAGGGUAAGUCAUCCAUAUAUCAUUCAACAAUUACACCAAUAACAUCAUACAAGAUGCAUAAUUGACAAUUGUGUACAAGAUAAAACAUAACUUGCAUGAACAGAACAUGACUACAUAUUACAAUUAGAAUACUAAUUACCAAGCUAAGACUAAUCCAACACCGGACGGAGCAUGUAAACUGGCAGAAACCCAACCGAAUAUCCAUGUAGAAAAUCAAAGGCACAAACUAGAUAUCAGAGGGAUUGGUAGAUUCCAACACAGUAAUCAGCAUCUGGAUAGACCUUGACGUGCCACCCGAGAAAAACACAGCAGGCAGUAAACUAGUCAGCAGCUUUCUUCACAGUACUUGGAACCUCAAACAGAUUACUUCAAAAGCAAACUUCCAUGUUCUUCUAAGGUAGUUCCCAAGAAAGUUACAUCUACAACGCAAACAAAACAAGCACCUCCAAUUUUCUUAGGAAUCUUGAAAUGAAACCAACCAUGAGCAUGUCCACACAGUUGAAGAAACACAUAUCCCAGCUCUACCUUUAUAACACGGUACACAGCAUAGCAAAAUCACUUUUCAUAUGGUCUGACAUGUAUAUCCAGAUAGGCCUAGCAAACCUUUUUCCAACUUCCUCUAUCUCUUAUUGACUCUGACUAAGUCAUGCAGGAACGGGAUCAAAAGCAAAAAAAACUGCAGAAUUUUGCCUGUCAACUGUCCCCAAACCGCUGUUUUUCACCGCAAAAAGAUAAAGCACUUUGUACGCAGAACAUUAAUGAAUCACCUUGAAUGGAACAGGCCAAUCCAAACCACAAACUUCAAUCUCUCAUUCAGAUCAUGUCAAACAUCUCCAAAGAAAACUAAGCUGACCACACCGAUCCACCGUAACGAACAGAGAUGAAAGCAAACAAACUGCUCCACGUUUAAAUAAAAUCCCCAUUAAACGAACACAACUAGUUGCUCUCGCCAAAAAUAACCUCCAUUAAUUGACAACCUUGAAUCAAAUCAGCAAUUAGGAUAAAAAUGGAUAAGCCACGACCCUAAAACAUAUCGCAAUCAGAGCAUGAUGGAUUAGCCAGGACCCAAUCAGAUCAGAAGUCAAAGCAAAAUAGAUUAGCCGCGACCUAAACCAAAGCAGCGAGGUUCAGAAGACGAUACCAACAUCAACGGAACAGAGGAGGACAAACCACCGGAACUAGGCCUCGAUCGACAUCAACGUAAUAAGGAGCAGCACAACCCAAACAGAACGCUCGCCUGGAAUUACAACCAAACGAAGAACAGCGAAACAAGGAGCGCGAGAUCUGAACCGAUUACCCGGUGGCCAUACCUGCGACUUACCCGACGAGAGGGGGGAGAGCAGAGAAGAGAAGUCAAAUCCUCCGAUACGAGGAAACCAUGGGAGGCUCGGGUGGUAUUUAUAGAGGCCGUGAAGCCGGUGGCGGCGAUGGGUUUCCAGGAAGGAGUCGGUGCGGGUGGACGCGGUUCCACUUUUUCCAGUCGUGGCCGGAGACGAACCGACGUCGGACGGAGGGCCACGCGGUUUUCGUGGGAGAAAGGGAAUGACGGGGGCACGAGGCGGUUGCGGCUUUCGUUAAUCCUAUCCCAUCUCUUCCGCGGCACGACUCUGCGUGCGUUCUUAUCCGUUAAUGACGGGCACCGUCAUACAUGUGGCGGGAUGGGUCCGCGCGAUCGUAAACGAACACGUUUUUUUUUACACCGGGACACCUUUACAUUUCAAAUUAUGGUGCACCGAUCAAAUCAACGAUCACGCAAGCUAACCUAUAUUUAGGUUUAAAUGGUUA
rnacentral:lncRNA from 1 species